rnacentral:lncRNA from 1 species
GUUGUUGAGCCUUGGGCAGACAGGGGAGGUGCUGUCCGUUCGGCAGUCCGCCGCCGCGGCCGAACCGUGCCAAAUUGGUAGUGGGUUUCGGGGCGGGGCGUGACAGUUAUUCGUGGUAUCAGAGCAAUAAGAGCAAGUAAAGAAAGAAAGUCUAGGAUGACCUAUGAGACCCUAGGUUGAUAAGCCCUAAGGUUAUAGGUGCGUGAGCGGAACGUGAACCUAUAGCGAUGGCGGAAGUUAAUUCGAUUCGGUCGAAGUUGGUAAUGUGUCUCUAGUUGUGAUUAGAGACGGAUUCAAGUUGUAUGAGUUCUUGUCUUGAGGUGGUUGUGUCGGCGGCCGACGACAUGAUGCCAAGAGUCUAGAACGAGUGCAUUUGUGUGCUUCCGCCCGAUUUUGUUCUUGAGUCGUCAUGUGACAUAAUUGCGACGAGGCAAUUGGUUAAGAUAACUGACCGAGUAUCUGUGUUUCAGGGACUAAUGUCUCCAAGACGCUACACGCAUAGAUCUGCCCCAGCACCGAUUCCUGAGGUGCCCGAGCAGGAGGAACCGAGCGUGAUCGAUCGGUUGCAAGCGCAAGUGACCGCGCUGACCAAUGUGGUGCAGCGCCAGGAGACCCGAUUUGAGCGGCUCUAGGAUCUAUUAGAGCGGCAGAUUACGGCGGCGGCUGCGACGGUGAAUGAGGGCGGUGGUCCGCCCGCACCCUCGACUCAUAUACCCGGAGCGGCAGAGGGUGAGGGCAUAGCGGCGGUUCCGGUGACGGCACGCCCACCGCCAGCGAUCGUACCACAGGCGGCAUCGAGAUCGGCUACACCCGAUGUGACGGCCGAAGACAUGGAGGGAGAGCGCGCAUUGGCGGCUCUUAUCAAGUUCAACAAGUUCCAUCCGCCAACCUUCGAGGGCGAGAAGGUGGAACCGGAGAUGGUCGAGUCCUGGAUUGACUCGAUGGAAACCCUCUUCGACGAUCUGCGUACCUUGGAGAGGGACAAGGUGUACCUCGCCACCUAUUGCUUAGAGAAGGCGGCGAAGGUUUGGUGGAAGUGCGUCAAAUGAGAUCGGCUUCCCGGCCUUCCGCCAAUGUUGUGGGAGGAGUUCAAACGGGAGAUGUUCGCCAACUAUUUCCACGAUACACUGAAGCGGAAGCUCAAGAAGAAGUUUCGCAAGCUAGAGCAAGGGGACCACUCAGUGGCGGAGUACGAACAAGAAUUCUCCCAUAUCAUCGAUUGCGUCCCAGAUGUUGUAAAAGAUGACUGGGACCGGGCCGAGUGGUUCUUGCGAGGACUUCGGCCGGGAAUUUAUAAGGCCGUGCAAAUACUUAAGCUCACGACCUUUGCGGAGGUCUUUGAUCGAGCCCUAUGGGCAGAGCACGGAGAUGGCCACGUUCGGGAGAAGCGUGAGCUUUUGGCGGAGUCCAAGGAUAAGGGCAAGAAACGCCAAGGUAGCGGUAGUUCGAGGGGACAGACACGUUAUAAGAGACCCCCGAAGUACCCGCGCGCUCAACAGAGGAGCGGUGGAGCGCGGCGAUGUAUCGUAUGCGGCGGAGACCACCCGAACUCGCACUGUGAGCAAGGCCGAGGCAAGUGCUACAAAUGUGGGCAACCGGGGCACUUCAUUCGGGACUGCCCGGGAGGAGGAGCCUCACCUGCCCCAUCGAUUGCAUCGGCGCCGGCGAUCCCGGCACACUAUGGAGGAGCUCCACCGACGGCCGCGUCGACUGGACGCGCGAUGAUGCCGCGUCAACAUGAAGCAACGCGAUCGGCCCCGAGCAGCCGGGUGUUCGCCGCUCAGGUCCAAGCUGAGGAACCUGCGGAGGCAGAAGAGCAUCGCCUUGUGGCAGGUAUGGUUUUAAUUAACGGAGUUCGCUCCAGGGCUUUUUUUGAUACAAGAGCCACGCAUUCAUUCAUAAGUAGAUCAUUUGCACGCAUGCAUGGCAUACAUAUAGAAGCGAGUGACAAGUGGCGAGUGGAGGGCCCUGGGUCAACGUUUAACACCUACUCGGAGUGUGCGUCGUGUCCCGUACAAAUAGGCGACUGGAUCAUGCCUAUCCGAACACUGGAACUCACAAAGCUUGAGGCUUAUGACGUCAUUCUGGGCAUGGACUGGCUCUCGAAAUAUCACGCAACGAUCGACUGCAAGAGCAGGGUGAUCACGUUCUGCGAGCCAGGACAAGAGGAAUUCACAUAUCAGGCUUGUCAAAGCUCAUGCUUCGUCGCGAUGGUGUCGGCGACGAGAGCGAGGAAAUUGGUCAACAGCGGUUGCACGACAUUUUUAGCAACUGUUGUAGAAGUGGAAUGAGUAGCUCCAACGUUAGAGGAGCUAUCGGUGGUGCGGGAGUUCCCGGAUGUAUUUCCCACGGAGUUUCCGGGGAUACCACCGGAUCGGAAGAUCGAGUUCGUCAUAGACUUGGUUCCCGGUACCGCACCGAUCUCGAAGGCUCCGUACCGAAUGGCGCCGGCGGAAUUGAAGGAGUUGAGGAGUCAACUGCAAGACCUCCUCGACAAGCAAUUUAUCCGGCCAAGUGUAUCACCGUGGGGAGCCCCGGUAUUGUUUGUAAGGAAGAAGGAUGGAUCGUUUCGACUCUGCAUGGAUUAUCGAGAAUUAAACAGAGUCACGAUCAAGAACAAGUACCCACUACCCCGAAUCGACGACUUGUUCGAUCAGUUGCAAGGAUCGUGUGUAUACUCGAAGAUAGAUCUGCAAUCCGACUAUCACCAGCUGAAAAUCAAGCCGGAGGAUGUGCAGAAGACUGCGUUCCGUACACGGUAUGGACACUACGAAUUCACGGUCAUGCCAUUUGGACUCACGAAUGCUCCAGCGGCAUUCAUGGAUUUGAUGAACCGUGUCUUCAAGAGGUAUUUGGAUCGAUUCGUCGUGGUCUUCAUAGACGACAUAUUGGUCUAUUCUCGUAGUGAUGAGGAACAUGCCGAGCAUUUGAGAAUAGUGCUUCAAGUCCUUCGGGAGGAGAAGCUAUAUGCUAAGCUGAAGAAGUGUGACUUCUGGCUCCGCGAGGUCGCCUUCUUAGGGCAUGUGAUUUCCGCGGGUGGAGUUUCAGUAGACCCGAGGAAAGUUGAGGCAAUCCAGGAUUGGCCGCGCCCGACGAAUGUACGGAGGUCCGAAGCUUCGUGGGCUUGGCGGGCUACUAUCGGCGGUUCGUGGAAGGCUUUUCGAAGAUAGUGAUUCCACUUACCCGCUUGACCCAAAAAGGCACCAAGUUUGUUUGGAGCGAAGAGUGCGACCGGAGUUUUAAAGAGUUGAAGCAAAGAUUGACUUCGACUCCGGUGCUCGCUCUACCGGUGCAGGGCAAAGACUUCGUAGUCUACAGUGAUGCCUCCUAUCUUGGAUUGGGGUGUGUGUUGAUGCAAAACGGGAAAGUGAUCGCUUAUGCAUCCCGUCAGCUGAAGAGCUAUGACAAGAACUACCCUAUUCAUGAUUUGGAGCUAGCGGCUGUGAUUUUCGCCUUGAAACUGUGGAGGCACUAUUUAUAUGGUGCCCAUUGUGAGAUUUAUACCGACCACAAGAGCUUGAAGUAUCUGUUCACACAGAAGGAGCUCAAUAUGCGUGAGCGGCGGUGGUUGGAGCUGUUAAAGGAUUAUGAUGUUGACAUCCUCUACCACCCCGGGAAGGUGAAUGUGGUCGUGGAUGCGCUUAGUAGGAAGUCGGCGAAGAACCUCGCUUUCGAUGUUACCCAGCAAACACCCCUGUGGCUAGACAUGGAGCGAUUGGACCUUGAAGUGGUCGCUCCCGAGGUCCCGACUCAGUUGAUGGCACUCGUUGUCCAACCGACCUUGUUGGAGAGGAUCAAAGAUCUGCAACCCGCAGACCCAGAACUCCAAAAGGUGCAGCGAAACAUCGAGGAAGGUCAUGGCGACGAUUUCAAGGUAGACGCCGACGGUACGCUUCGGUUUCGAAACCGAUUGUAAUAUACCGAGAAUUCGGAAAAUAAAUAUCGAACUUUAGUCAAAUUGACCAAAGUGCGAGGACGGUACACUUCGGAAAGUUCGAAGGUGUUAAAAUGAGUAAAAGAGUGUUGUGGAAGGUUUUCGAGAGCUAAGAAUCAAAAUUUUGCAAACUGCAGAUUUUCAACUCUCAGGGACCGGUCCCUGGUGGGAGAGACCGGUCCCUGAACGUGUGAAAAAUGAGCGAGGCCGCAAAUCGGCUAAGUCCCUGAGAACCAGCCGAAAAUGAGGGAGGACCGCGGCAAGGGCAUCGCCCCCGAUCAGUGAGACCGUGGUAGUUAGUAGCUUUCCUUUUGCAUUAGUACACCUAUGUAUUUGAGAGAUUCAUUGUAGGUGAGGACUUGGAGAGCUAUGCAUUUUGAGAUGAAAAAUGUAUUCAUUUAAAGAGAAUGAUGUAAAUGGAAAUGAUGAAACUGUUGUAAUAGUUCGUAAAAUACUCUCUUUAUUUCACAUGUACAUCUUGUGGAUUACUUGCUCUUUGUAUUGUUGGCACUGUUUGUGUCCUUGUGAAUGUGUAUGUUUAGAAUUUAAGUUCCCAGGUAAAUUCUUGUACACAUUCUUGUUGUUGAGCCUUGGACGGACAGGGGAGAUGCUGUCCGUUCGGCAGUCCGCCGCCGCGGCCGAACCGUGCCAAAUUGGUAGUGGGUUUCAGGGCGGGGCGUGACGGUGCCAUAAGCACCAUCGAUGCCGAGUAUCAGGAAAGACACGUGUGAUAGCAUUUUGCAUCGCUUUAUCUUGAUCUGUGAUUAUUGCUUUGGGGGCACGCUCGGACAUGCAUGACAACCAAUUCCGAAAGAGCCAUACAAACGAUUCUAUAUCUUCAGUGGAGAGUAAGCCGCAUCCCAACAAGAUCGACUAUCCAUGAUGGUUAACACCAACGAGAGGGACAAUUGGCAUAUCGUAUUUAUUUGUUAGAUAUGUCGAGUCGAAAGUAAUUACAUCUCCGAAACUUUCAUACGCCGCUCUACUCCGAGCAUCUGCCCAAAAGACAUUGCGAAGCCGAGAAUCAUCGUCUAGAUCUAUGGCAUAAAAAGAGUUUCCAUUUCUCUCUUGCAUUUCUCUAAAAUAAUUACAAAUUGCCUCGCCGUCACCUUCACCAAGUCGUAGCCGACGGACUUUUUCAAUAUAAUUACGAGCAUCCUUCUCUCCAAAUGUUAAGUUUUCAUACCCACCAGCUUCAACAGCAAUAGAAUUAAAAUUUUUGUUCAAUCUGAUCUAGCACGAUCAUUAAUAUCAAGCCGCCUCUUGAUGCUCGGAUCUAUAAUUCGAUUGCAGGGAAAAAAUUGAGACUUAUAAGGACUUAGGAUGUGAUUAUGCUCAAGUACAAUUUUACUUAUUACACAAGAUAAAUCCGCAUUUAUUACUACAUUUAUCCUCGCAAGACAGUUCGUCUUUACUACCGAUGGACGAGGACGAAGAUUCGUCACGGUCCGAUUCAUUUUUCCAUGACGAGAGCAUGCGAUUAUUACAUACGUAGCCUUGCCAUCAGUCAUUUUAGUUGUCCUCUUUACAACUCCAAAUCCUAAUUCCUGUGCGUAAUGCUUAUAGAAAUUAAAAACGGCUUCAAAAUUGAUAAAAGACAUUCUAAUUUCUGGUGCCGAAAUAUUUACAUCUCUGACCUCACUGUUUCUUUCUUCAUCCAUCUCCAAAAUGUUCAAUUCAAAUAAUCAGUUAACUCAGAAAUUUAACAAAAUUGCUCACCUAUAAGACAUCACAUGCAGUCGAAAUAUAUAAUUGGAAUAAUGGUGACCAGGCAAACUAUUUAUCAAAAUCAAUACAUCUAAAUUAAUAAUGUAUACACCACAUUCUACUAUACCCUAAAAAUGAAUCAUUGUGGCAUAACAAAAUAAUACAAGUAUUUUAUUAUAAGUACAUCCUAAACGUUUUAGUUAGUGCAUGACAAAUGUGAAGACAAAGAACUCCAAUAAGAUAGUCGCAACUUAUCAGUCUUAUUCUUAAGACUGAUAAGAUAAUACUCACUUGAAUUACAAGCCAUUCAUACAUCAUAUAAAAGAGACAUAAGUUUUUGCAGCUCAAGGACAAGCAUCAUAUACUGGAAGUAAUUGGACAGUGUGGACCAGAAGUAAUGAAUCGCAGCUAGUAAACUGAGCACACUUGGACAACAAUUAUGCAUAAGAGACGAACAGUUGGACUUUCAUGUUAUAUAGAAUAUUACUGAUCAACCUAUAUGAACUGGCUAGUGAAUUGGCCUCGCUAGUUCCAAGAUAAUAAUAUUUCAGCAUCAAUACAGGAAGGGCAAUAAAUUUGCAAAAUCAACUUUGAGAAAUCACAUAUAUACUUUAUUUACGAUGCAUCUAAACAAAUGUAAGUAAAACAAUGGUGACAAAGGCCAAGUUCAUUAAAUGUGCUUCAGUAGUAAACUAGUUAGUUGUCAUUGUCAUUAGGACUGAAACUCUUAAAUUCAAAACUUUUUUCAACCUAUGAGUAAACUGCACCACGGGAUCUCAACCUUUUAGCAUAGUUUUACUUUGGUCACGAACCUUUCAAUUGUUAAAUUGGAACUCUAGCAUUUGUGUUGUGUCCCAAUUUUACCUUUUUCACUUAAAUUCCUCCAUCUUCUCACGUUCAUCAUUACUUAUACACUCAACGGUAUAACAACAUAAAAAAAGAAACCAGUUUCAUUAAACAUUAAAGAUCACUAAUUCUCUGCGAUCAAAUGCUUACAACAUCACAAUCAACUAAUCCGUAAUAACUACAACAUGAACCCAAGUCACACACAUCCACUAAGAAAUAGAGAGGGGAGAUUUACCAAAUGCAAGAUGCUAAUCAAGGCGCCAUCCGCAUCCGGCCACUUGGACACCAAAUCAAACACGAAGUUCCCCUCGCCAACGACGACUCUGCAAGAAGCAUCGCUCUGAAUCCCACCUAAUCUCAAACCAGUGCUUCCCCUUUCAGAAACUACGAGUCAAAGACGAAGUUCCCCUCACUCUCGCUCUCGCUUUCUCUCGCGGAGGUCAUCUCUGUCUCGCUCAAGUUCUCCUCUCUCUCGCUCUAUCGCUCGCAGGCCUCUCUCUCUAGCUCGCAGGCGCCAGAAAAGGGGAGUGAGGCGCCCCUCUCUCGCUCUUUAAGGAAGUGAAUUCUCGAAAUCCGAGGAUUGUACUUCAUCCAGGGUCGACUAACUGUCGAGAGAAUACCCAUUGUGGGAGUUAAAAAAUGUCCAAAACAUAAGAAGUGCUUUGGAGUUAAGUCCGCGAGAGCAAAUAGGCAAAAUCUGGACUCAGCAAAUAGGCAAAAAUGUCCAAAACACAAGGAUGACCGGGACCGGGCCGAGUGGUUCUUGUGAGGACUUCGGCCGGGAAUUUAUAAGGCCGUGCAAAUACUCAAGCUCACGACCUUUGCAGAAGUCUUCGAUCGAGCACUAUGGGCGGAGCACGGAGAUGCCCAUGUUCGGGAGAAGCAUGAGCUUUUGGCCGAGUCUAAGGACAAGGGCAAGAAACGCCAAGGUGGCAGUAGUUCGGGGGACAAACACGUUACAAGAAACCCCCGAAGUAUCCGCGCACUCAACAGAAGGGCGGUGGAGCGCGGCGAUGCAUUGUAUGCUGCAGAGACCACCCGGUCUCGCGCUGUGAGCAAGGCCGAGGCAAGUGCUACAAGUGUGGGCAACCGGGGCACUUCAUUCGGGACUGCCCGGGAGGAGGAGCCUCACCUGCCCCAUCGAUUGCAUCGGCGCCGGCGAUCCCGACUCAUUAUGGAGGAGUUCCACCGACGGUCGCAUCGACGGGACGCGCGAUGAUGCCGCGUCAACCCAAAGUGACGCGAUCGGCCCCGAGCGGACGGGUGUUCGCCGCUCAGGUCCAAGCUGAGGAACCUGCGGAGGCAGAGGAGCAUCGCCUUGUGGCAGGUAUGGUUUUAAUUAACGGAGUUCGCUCCAGGGCUUUAUUUGAUACAGGAGCCACGCAUUCAUUCAUAAGUAGAUCAUUCGCACGCAUGCAUGACAUACUCAUUGAAGCGCGUGACAAGUGGCGAGUGGAGGGCCCUAGGUCAACGUUUAACACUUACUCGGAGUGUGCGUCGUGUCUCGUACAAAUAGGCGACUGGAUUAUGCCUAUCCGGACACUAGAACUCACAAAGCUUGAGGAUUAUGACGUCAUUCUGGGCAUGGACUGGCUCUCGAAGUACCACGCAACGAUCGACUGCAAGAGCAGGGUGAUCACAUUCUGUGAGCCAGGACAAGAGGAGUUCACAUAUCGGGCUUGUCAAAGCUCAUGCUUCGUCGCGACGGUGUCGGUGACGAGGGCAAGGAAGUUGGUUAACAGCGGUUGCACGGCAUUCUUAGCGACUGUUGUGGAAAUGGAACGAGUAGCUCCAACGUUAGAGGAGCUAUCGGUGGUGCGGGAGUUCCCGGACGUAUUUCCUGCGGAGUUGCCGUGGAUACCACCAGAUCGGGAGAUCGAGUUCGUCAUAGACUUGGUUCCCGGUACCGCACCGAUCUCGAAGGCUCCGUACCGAAUGGCGCCGGCGGAAUUGAAAGAGUUGAGGAGUCAACUGCAAGACCUCCUCGACAAGCAAUUUAUCCGGCCAAGUGUAUCACCGUGGGGAGCCCCGGUGUUGUUCGUACGGAAGAGGGACGGAUCGUUCCAACUCUGCGUGGAUUAUUGAGAAUUGAACAAAGUCACGAUCAAGAACAAGUACCCGCUACCCCGAAUCGAUGACUUGUUCGAUCAGUUGCAGGGGUCGUGUGUGUACUCGAAGAUAGAUUUGCAGUCCGGCUACCACCAACUAAAGAUCAAGCCGGAGGAUGUGCAGAAAACUGCGUUUCGUACGCGAUAUGGACACUACGAAUUCACGGUCAUGCCAUUUGGACUCACGAAUGCUCCAGCGGCAUUUAUGGAUUUGAUGAACCGUGUCUUAAGAAAAUAUUUGAAUCGAUUUAUCAUGGUCUUCAUAGACGACAUAUUAGUCUACUCUCGUAAUGACGAGGAACAUACCGAGCAUUUGAGAAUAGUGCUUCAAGUCCUUCGGGAGGAGAAGCUAUAUGCUAAGCUGAAGAAGUGUAACUUCUGGCUCCGCGAGGUCGCCUUCUUAGGGCAUGUAAUUUCCGCGGGUGGAGUUUCUGUAGACCCGAGGAAAGUUGAGACAAUCAAGGAUUGACCGCGCCCGACGAAUGUCACGGAGGUUCGAAGCUUCGUGGGCUUGGCGGGCUAUUAUAGGCGGUUUGUGGAAGGCUUUUCCAAGAUAAUGAUUCCACUUACCCGCCUGACUAAGAAAGGCACCAAGUUUGUUUGGAGCGAAGAGUGCGACCGAAGUUUCAAAGAGUUGAAGCAAAGAUUGACUUCGACUCCGGUGAGAGCUCUACCGGUACAGGACGAAGACUUCAUGGUCUACAGUGAUGCCUCCUAUCUUGGAUUGGGGUGUGUAUUAUUGCAAAACGGGAAAGUGAUCGCUUAUGCAUCCCAUCAGCUGAAGAGCUAUGAAAAGAACUACCCCAUCCAUGAUUUGGAGCUAGCAGCGGUGAUUUUUCGCCUUGAAGCUGUGGAGGCACUACUUAUAUGGUGCCCAUUGUGAGAUCUAUACCGACCAUAAGAGCUUGAAGUACCUGUUUACACAGAAGGAGCUCAACAUGCGUCAGCGGCGGUUGUUGGAGCUGUUAAAGGAUGUGGUCGCGGACGCACUUAGUAGGAAGUCGGCGAAGAACCUCGCUUUUGAUGUUACCCAGCAAACACCCCUAUGGCUGGAUAUGGAGCGAUUGGACCUUGAAGUGGUCGCUCCCGAGGUCCCGACUCAGUUGAUGGCACUCGUUGUCCAACCGACCUUGUUGGAGAGGAUCAAAGAUCUGCAACCCGCAGACCCCGAACUCCAAAAUGUGCGGUGAAACAUCGAGGAAGGGCGUGGUGGCGAUUUCAAGGUAGACGCCGAUGGUACGCUUCGGUUUCGAAACCGAUGGUGUGUGCCGAAAGAUGGAGAGCUUCGUGAAUUGAUUCUACAAGAAGCACACCGAUCUCCAUAUGCCGAUCACCCGGGCGGCACCAAGAUGUAUCAAGGACUAAAAAUGCACUAUUGGUGGCCGAAAAUGAAAGGUGAUAUUGGAUGCUUUGUGGCGAAGUGUUUAACAUGACAACAAGUGAAGGCCGAGCGUCGAUUUCCAGCAGGAAAGCUUCAAAGCCUACCGAUCCCCGUUUGGAAAUGGGAGGAUAUAUCGAUGUACUUCGUGGUUGGCUUGCCUCGCUCAACAGGCGGCCACGAUGCAAUUUGGGUAAUUGUGGAUCGAUUGACAAAGUCGGCUCACUUCUUGCCGAUCCACACCACGUGGUCGGGUGACAAGUUAGCGCAGGUAUACCUUGACGACAUAGUGAGACCGCAUGGGGUGCCGAAAUCGAUCGUGUCGGAUCGUGACCCCCAGUUCACUUCACACUUCUGGAAGAGCCUGCAGGAAGCCCUUGGCACACGGCUCGACUUUAGCACCGCAUUUUAUCCUCAGAUCGAUGGGCAAACAGAGAGAACCAUUCAAACUCUGGAGGACAUGUUGCGAGCGUGUGUCAUCGACUAUAAGGGAAGUUAGUGUGACCACCUACCUAUGGCCGAGUUCGCCUACAACAACAGUUAUCAUGCUAGUGUGGAGAUGGCACCGUUCGAGGCUCUCUAUGGGCGGACGUGUCGGUCUCCUAUACACUGGAGCGAUGUGGGUGAACGUAUAGAGUUCGGCCCCGAUGUUCUGCGAGAGGCGGAGGAGAAAGUCCGCCUUGCUCGCAAGAGAUUGCUCACGGCGCAGUCGAGACAGCAAAGCUAUGCAGAUAGGCGCCGACGAGAUAUAGAAUUCGCGGUGGGUGACCGCAUAUUCUUGAAAGUUUCACCGAUGCGAGGUGUGAAGCGGUUUGGAGUACGGGAAAAACUAAAUCCCCGAUAUAUUGGACCAUAUGAAAUAUUGGAGUAAGUCGGCAUGGUGGCCUACCGACUUGCUUUGCCGCCGAAGCUUGCAGAUGUACAUAAUGUGUUCCAUGUCUCCAAUCUCCACAAGUAUAUUCACGACCCCGAGCAUGCAAUGCUAUAUGAACAGCCAGAACUUCAAGGAGACUUGAGCUAUGAAGAGUUUUCGGUAGGGAUUAUCGCCCGAGAGGUGCGAAAGUUGAGAAAUCGAAAAUUCCCUUAUGUGAAGGUUAGGUGGAGCAAUCAUGUCACGCCCCGCGACCAACCGCCUAUUUGGACCGGGUCGCGGCGCCAAUGACAGACCGCCGAACGGACCGGGAAUUCCCCUGUACGCGGACAGAGUCUCCCCAGUACGUCCAAGGCGUCGCAAUCCAAACAAUCAACGAAUGUUCCAACAAGGAACAGAUAUCAAUCCAGAUUGCAUAAGGAAGCAUCAAAUACAUAAUUUACUUGCUAUUACAAGCAUUCAUUUUACAACCACGUUUUACAUCACAAUUUCAGUUUACAUUUUUACUUCCAAAUUACAAUCUCACUAUUACAUCAGAGUUUGAUACAUUUUCAUUCCUUGUCUUCUAGACCCCUAAGCUAGACUGUCUCAGGGUACUGCUACCUCGGUCUCUGUGGUGGGGCGCUAUCUACUGAGCUACACCCUCGCCUCGCGCCGCCGCGCCGCACACGAACGACCUGAAAACCCCAAAACAACGUGGGGUGAGAACCAACUCCAUGGUUCCCAGUGGGUACGGCCACCCAAGGGAAAAGCUCGACCGAUAGGUCCGAGGAGGCACUGCAACAUGUUAGUUCAACAAUAUACAACAGAUAUAUAUAUUCAAUUGAAAUACAUGCCAUGCCUCACGAAAUGCAAUAUGCAAUAUCUGGAAUCAUGCAAGUAGGUUACUUUAACACUACUUAUGUUCUUAAUCAUUCUUUACUUUUGUCAUUUAAUGACUUUCUUUAGUUAUUAGCUAUUCUUUACUCGUAGCUUUUCUUUACUUGUUCUUUGUUCUUUAGCUAUUCUUUAUUCUUAACAUUCUUGAACCAUGCUAUAUCUUAGCCUUUGGCAUUCUACUCUAAGGUCACUUUACCUUAGUCAACAAAGCCACCCGACUCGGUCUUGAGUCAAUCAAUCGCGGAUAGUCCGCGCACUGUCUAGCUCGAGGUGAAGGAACUCUCACAUGCACCUCAGCUGGCAACAGCUCACCGUACUCCUGUCCUAGCCGUCUGGCGGCGAACGAAUCGCACCUCACCCAACAACGGCCUAGGUUCAAUGACUUAGUCACCCGGCGGCGAAAUCGUCGCACACACGCCACGACAGUGGUUCAGUCAACAGGCGGUAGGAUCCACAAACUGGCUAACCAUCCGGCGGCGAAAUCGUCGCACACACGCCACGACAAUGGUUCUCUAGCCCCUGGGCGGCGAAAUCGUCGCACACACCCGACACCACUUUGGGUGUAGCAGCAAGCAGCGGGAUUCCGGAAUCCAUAUCACAUCAACCAAGGGUUGGUCUUAACCCUAUGGAACUGACCUCUCUAGGUCUAAGCAUUUAUCUCCUAGGUCCAAUCGACUCUAGGUUCAUUGUCCUUUACACAACCUAAGUUAUUACUUUAGGUUUAUUGCUUUCACAUUCUUAACCUAGGUUUAUUACACUAGGAUCAUCAUUCUUUUCCAACCUAGGUUUACUUGACUCUAGGUUAAGCAGCUUUCAUUUCACAACCUAUGUCCUUUACAUUAGGUUCAACAUCCCUCUUAUUUAACCUAUGUUCUUUACAUUAGGUUCAACAUCUCAUUUAUUUAACCUAUGUCCUCGACACUAGGUUUAAUGCCACUCGAUCUAUAGGUUUAUUCAUGUCCACCUAUAUAUGUUCCUUACUUAGCAUUCUUAACAUGCACUUGCAUUUACUAUUCUUAUAUCAUGCUUAUCACUUAUACUUUAGCAUAGCAUCAUUCACUUUAAUCAUUCUAGGGUUAUCAACCUAGUUUCAUGCACAUUUAUCUCACAAUGUCAACAUGCAUUCUAUAUCUCAUUUUAACUUAUAUCAUCAAUAUGCAUUUCAUUCUAUGCAUUAUGCUUACAUGCAUUCACAUAAUUAUCUAGCUUUAUUCAACAUGCUCAUAAUGCAUUCUAUUUAGCAAUUACAUCACACUAUCAUCAUGCAUUAUUUAGCUACAUGCAUCAUUUACAUUUAUAUGCAUCAACUUUAGCAUCUACAUCAUAUUAUGCAUUUCUACUUAGCAUCAACUAUACCGAUCAUCAACAUGCAUCAACAUGAAAGUCUAAUAAUUAGACAUAAAGGCGACCUAGUCGCUUCGGUAAACCAACCCACCUUAACACGCGCUCCGAUUGCUUGUCGACACUUGCAAUCGGCCUCCCGCGGCACUCGGCACCCUUUGGGCCCGACAAGCUCUUGCGCCUCAACCGUGUUCCGCUUUGCAAAUCCGGAAAUUAUAGGUCUUCGGUUAUGCGCCACGAUGCCCCACGUCCUUUUUCACGACCUUACGACGCCGUCUCGGACCUACAGGCAAGAAUGAAGCCUCAAGGCUUAUUUCUUUAAUAACUUUAAAACGGCUCGACGAAUGCUCAAUCCGUCUUCGCCCACGCGUUUCUUGACCUAGCAAUUAGGUUUCCAAGCACUCAAAAUAGAUCAAAACCCCACAUUAGCAAAAUCCCCAUUUGGGAUGCCCUAAUGCAACAUAGGCUUAAUACCUCGGAUUUGAUCUAUAAAACAAGCAAAAGAAAGCUUGUUUAUCAUCUAGAAGCUCAUCUAGGAGCAUUCGGACUCAUUCUAGGGUAUUUAAAGCAAACCCUAGAAAUCCACCAUUAGAGCUUCAUGAGACAACCAUGGAUUUCAUGGUGUUCUAGCUCUUCACAAGGUUCUAAAGCUUGUAGGUAGAUCAAAACCAAAGAUCUAGGGUUUAAAACCCAUUCUACCAAAAUUCACCAUUAGAGGGAGCAAGAAGCUUACCUCUCAAAAGCUCCAAGGGAGAGAAGAAGAUGAAGAUGAAGACGAGGGAGAGGAUCUUCUACUUGGUCCUCACCAUCUUCCCCUUUUCCUUCUCUUUUUCUUCUUCUCUUUUUCUUUUCCUCUUCUUUCUCUUCUUCGGUUUGCACGAACAGAGGGAGAGAGAGGGAGCUGUGGGAGUGAGAGAGAGUGAGAUAAAACACUCUCUAAUAGUGUAUUGUAACAAUAUCCACCUAGCCCCUCAAUAUUUCCGUUUUUCCAACUUAACCUACUGUUCUGGGUCCCUUGUACCGGUACACGGGCUCUUGUACCGGUACAAGGCCCGACAGACAGCCAAAACCGAGAGCUGGCUCACUCAGUUUCGCGGGUUUUGUACUGGUACAAGGCCCCCUUAUACCAGUACAGCGCCGUAGCACUGUUCCGUGAUGGUUGUACCGGUACAGCCAUCAUGCUUGUACCGGUACAGCACCUGCAGAAUGCUGUUGUCACUUAUUUUCGGCUCUAUUUCGCGCCGUACGAUGUCAAGACCCUUCCAACUCCUUUGGAACUCACUUUUACUCUUCCAAUCAUGUUGGAAUACCAACGGAAACUUGUCCAUCCAUCUUGUUCCCAUACUUUAGUCAUUUUAGCUAAAGUUCAAUAAUUUCUUCCGAAACCUCGGGGGUUACAAAUCAUGAGGAUCGCGAAGCCACCUGGGAACUCGAGGAUUUGAUGAGAAAAUACCAUCCUCACUUAUUCGAGGAGUAAGGUAUGGAUUUAAGUUAAAGUUAAGAAUCGAGUUCGUUUCGAGGACGAAACUCCUUUUAAGGAGGGGAGGAUGUAAGGAAGUGAAUUCUCGAAAUCCGAGAAUUGUACUUCAUCCAGGAUCGACUAACUGUCGAGAGAAUACCCAUUUGGGAGUUAAAAAAUGUCCAAAACAUAAGAAGUGCUUUGGAGUUGAGUCCGCGAGAGCAAAUAGGCAAAAUCUGGACUCAGCAGAUUUUUGCUCUCGAGGACCGGUCCCUGGAAGGGAGGACCGGUCCCCGUAGCUGAGGGUCGUGGGGGAGGUCGAUGCGACCGGUCCCUGAUUGAGGGGACCAGUCCCCGUGUGCGACACCCGCGAGAGGAAGCCAAAUUUGGCUAAGUCCUGAAAGUUCCCCUUUCGGGAAUCGGUCUCUCAGGAAAGACCAGUCUCCCAGGGACCGGUCCCUCGGGUGAGGACCGGUUCCCGUACGCGAAAAGUCCCCAGGCCGCGGGGAGGGCUCUCGGGGACCGGUCUCCUCGACCAGGGACCGGUCCCUCUGGGCGAAAACAGCCCGGGGACAGCUGCUUGAGAGGUGAAUAGUUGAGGGGUUUGAGAGCAAAAUUGCCAUCAUAUGAGGGGUGUAUAUGGGAAAUAACCCUCUCCCUCAGCUCCCUCUCAUCUCUUUCCCUCUCUCACACUCUCUUUCUCUCUUGCUCUCUCUCUCUCUCUAGAAAAGAAAGGAGAAGAAGAAGAACAAGAAGGAGAGGAAGGAAAGGAAGAAGAAGAACAAGAAGGAGAAGAAGAAGGAGAUCAAGAGGAAGGCUUUGGACACUUUCAUCUCCCUCUCCUCUUCUCUUUGGUGUAGCACAAGAGGUAAGCUCUUGAACCCUAGUAUGGUAGAACUUAGGGUUUUGGGUUUUGAUGCUUUGGAAUGGGUCAAAUAGACCCUAAGCAUGCUUCUAAGUAGAUCAAUUCUAAGAAUCUAAGGAUUUAUUGGUGGUUUGCUAUAGGUGCAAACCUAGGGCUCCAAAAUGGGGUUUUUGUGAAAGUAUGAGAUUGAUCUCAUUUGAAACCUUGGAAACCCUAUUGCUAGGUCAAAAAACGUGGGGGCGAAGUCGGUUUUGGCAUUCGGCGAGCCGGCGUGAAGUUCUCGGCAAAAUAGGGCCGGGUUAGCGUUGAUUUGGGCAAGGAAGGCUAAAGCCUUUUUGUAAAGUUCGCCGAGAAGGAUUUCCGAAGCCUCUACAUCGAUUAAAGGUGGGGGGUGCCAUCCCGAAGCUUUCGGACUCCUUUCUAUGUCUUAGAAUUGCAUUUAAUCUCAUCUCUUCAUGUUGCAUUGUAGGAUUGCAUAGUAACUCCAUUCCUUAUACUUUCUAAAUGAUAACCUAGUAUACUUGGAAUGCUUGGUGACUUAGAUAGGUGAGGAUUGGGUCGGAACGUGGAUCCUAUAAUGCAAAAGAAAAGAGAUGUACCCGAUGGGGGUGUUGAUGACAUAAAAAGUAGUGUUAAUGUCAAAGAACAGACGAGUGGCAUCCAAAUGUUAAAUGAUCACGAGUGGCAUUAAUGUAGUGUAAAUGACACUAGAGGUUUGAGAACCUAAAGAUAGAUGGAUCCCUUAGAAAAUGCCUUGUGGAUAAAAAACUUAGUAAACCUAAGUAACCUCACGUGGAGAGGUUGUCGAUGAGUCAAUUGAGCCAUUGACCCUAGUUGUAGGGCAUCCUCACUUGGAGAGGAUUUGAUUGGGCUGUGGACCCUAGUUUAUAGUGCUUCCUCACUUGGAGAGGAUUCGAUUGGGUUAUUGACUCUAGUUGUAGAGCAUCCUUACUUGGAGAGGACUUGAUUGGGUUGUUGACCCUAGAUGUAGGGCAUCCUCACUUGGAGAGGAUAGAUCUAGCUCACAGUCUGCGUUUGGGGUGGUAUAGCCAUCCUAUCCCCACAUGGAGGGGAUUGUUAUCGAGUACUCCGGAGUGUCGCGCGACUAGGACCACUUGGAGGUCCAGACCACAUGGAGGUCCGCAGACGAUCCCGGGCUUGGGUGCACUUGGAGCUCCCUCCCCACUUUGGGAUUGAAGGGCGAGUUAUAGGCGAGCCCUAGGGCCUCGCCACAGAUUGGGUAAAUGGAAAGGUAAAGGUUUAUCAAUGUCAUUGAACAUUACUAUUCGAACAGGGAUCGAAUUUGUUAGCAUGGUAGCAAACCUUUAUUAUAUGAUGCAUGCAUUCAUAUUCAUGAUUAUGGGCAUAGUAGCAUAGUUUUUCUACUAUUGCAUUUACAGUUUUCAGAUACAUAUCUAUCUAUCUAUCUGUUGUUACUUGUGCCCACUUGGACCUAGUGGGGAGAUCUGCAGAGUCGGCGGUCGAGCCCACUGGGAACUAUGGAAGAUAGUUCUCACCCCACUCUAUUUCCAAUGGUAGGUACAGAGCUGCCGAGAGAGGACCGCGGUAAGGGCAUCGCGCCCGAUCAGUAAGACCGUGGUAGUAUAGUAGCUUUCCUUUUUGCAUUAGUACACCUAUGUAUUGAGAGAGAUUCAUUGUAGGUGAGGACUUGGAUUAUGUAUUUUGGAUGAAUGAUGUAAUUAUUUAAAGAAAAUGAUGUAAAUGAAAAUGAUGAACUAUUGUAAUAGUUAGCAAAGUACUCUCUUUAUUUCACAUAUUAUUCCUGUGGAUUACUUGCUCUCGCAGUUGCCGGCACUAUUUGUGCCCCGUCAAAUGUGUACGUUUAGAAUUUAAAUUCCUGAAAAAUUCUUGUACACAUUCUUGUUGUGAGCCUUGAGCGGGCAAGUGAGGUGCUGUCCGUUCGGCGGCCCACCCGGCGCGCCCGAAUCGUACCAAAUUAGUAGUGAUUUCGGGGCUGGGCGUGACACGCUCGAGAUCUUCUCUCUCUCGCUCUAUCGCUCAGCCCUCUCUCUCUCUCUCUCUAUCCCGCAGGCGCCGGAAAAGAGGAGAGAGAUCAAAAAAAAGGGGGAAAGGGUGAGGAGGAAGAAAAUGGGAGUGAGGAUAACACUGAUUUUUUUUUUCAAAAGCUAACUAAUAUCAGUAGGAUAGUUGUAGGAUGUACAACCCAAGAUGGGUUGUACCAGUAGCACUACUCAUAUAUAUAUAUAUAUAUAUAUAUAUAUAUAUAUAUAUAUAGACUUUGAGGAAAUUGAAGAUAAUAUACUCUACCCAAUUUUGUUCCGAUCAAAUAAUUAUCCUAAUCCUGUUAAAUACGAUUGAAGAUAAAAUUAUGAGAAAUUGAUAAAUAAAUUUUGACAAAUCCCAGAUAAAGUUAGUCUAGAUUGUUAGGUUAAAUUCUGGAAUUUGAUUUCCUUUCACAGUUUUUUGAUUAAAUCUAUUAGAAAAUAUUAAAUUAGAGACGAAACUAAAGUAAAAGAAAAGGUGAUUUCAAGAAAUAACCUAAUGAGGCAUGUAAUGCACUAUUCUAGAGUAACUUUAGCCCCUCCACAUGCGAGUCUCCGACUAGUUGCUAUCGCAAUAGAACACCUCGAAUUAUCUCGAUCUCCUUGAUUGCAGAGUCUUAAAGGAGUGCUUAAUUGAACAUCAAUCUUGCUUUCAAAAUCUCAACUUUAAAAAAUUAAAUAAAAUAAAGCGGAGAAAGGAGGAACAAAAAGGCAAAAAAAAAAAUCUAUUAAUUAGGAUCUAGUGAAAAAGUCGAUCUUUUAUUCCUCUGUUUUAUAAUAAGUUAACGGUCCAAAAUACCGUCAUAGGGCGUUCAGCCCAGGGUACGUUACCUCCUUUUCCGGGUAGAGGAGAGAGAUUGAUGAUACAUGAUCCAAAUUUUCUUAUAUUGUAUUUAAAUUAAAUUUUUAAUUAUUCAUUAGAUUAAGCCUUUAAGUUAAAUCUUUUAACUCAAACUAACUCCGACAAUUGACAGACGAGAACUAUGAUCAGAUGUUUACCACAACAUAGUUGGUAAGCUCUUUUCUCGGAAUAAAGCUAAUCACAUCUUUCCAAUUGGACUAGAAGAAAGCGCCUAGAGUGCAACAACAAAAGAAAAUCUCUACAGCACAUUCAAAACCAUCAGUUUCUUACACUACGGAACAUAUCCAAAAUCCAAAGUCUCUUUAACUGUUGUCACUUUCCAGUCCAAUUUUCUCAUUUAAUUCCAAGUUUGAUUAAUAACUACAUAAGACAACUCCUAACCCAUCAUUAAAAUUAAGUUGUCUGAUGAAACGAUAAUUAGGUAUUACGUAAGACCUACUACUAGCCGUUCCUAUAAUGUGGAAGAAGCAGCAGUAGUUAUAUAUAGGUAUUUGAUACAAAAUGGUGAUAGUGACAGACAAGAAUCACAAGAGCAGGAGCAUUAAAUCAGGUCUGAGAACCUCAGAUCUGAUGGACCAGGGCCCAAAAUCCCUUUGUCGUACUCCGUAGUAAUAAUAUUUCCUGUUCCCGGGUUUGCUUCUGUAUGCUCGGGUCUCUCCUCGUCUAUUGAAGAAGGGGCCUGCUGCCUCCGGCUACUCCCCAACCAUUCAUGCUGUCAACAAAAUAUGAAGAGAAAAAAAAUACCCCACUGAAUAUUGGUAUUGAUACUACCAAAAUGUCAUCUACAAGUACAAAUAAGACACUCACAUCUUCCUGGAUGUGGUUUCCAUCUUGUAAAUUUGGGGUCAGAAUUGGGGGGUUGACAUCUGGAUCAGGUUUGUGAAAUACAAAUAUAGAAUACAAACCUGCAACAGUUUUGAUGCUAUAGUUAAUACUGGAUCAGAUAAGGUAAAAGGAUUCCACAAAUUAAGUAUUGUUGGAAAGAAAUUCGUGCUAGUUACUUAGUAUAUCAAAGGAUCGAGCAAGAAGUCUUCCACGGGGAUCCACCAAAUUGGUACCAUAACUAGAGAGUAUCCCAGCAAAUUGUGCUCUAAAAACAAAGUUAAGUGCACCUUUAGAUUUGCAAAAGCAUGAAAUAACAACGUGAAAAAUAAAAAUUAAUAGAACAUCACCCGGUUAUGUCCCGCAAGAAGCAGCAUCACCUUCUAAUAAAAGCACAAGAGCUUUAUAGCCAUCUCAAUUGAAAGGAAUACAAGGAUGCAACACAGACCUCGUAAGCAGGGAAUGAGUUGCAUUUGGACAGGAAUAAUAAAAGACACAAUGCAUUUAUUUGCAUGGAUCACACAUAUUAUUAGUACAGAAACUGAAAGUGAAUUGGCAUGUUAUAUUUUAUCCAUUAGCGUGGCGUAUGUAACUUUUCAUUAGUAUUGUGACUUAUCAAAGCCAUUCAUUUAGGGCUCAAGUUAGGCUCGAGCUUGAAAUUAGGCUUGAUCCGGCACAGCUAGAAUAAAUUUAAUCAAGUUUGACCAAAAUUUUAGGCUCGAAAUUAAUUUAAGCUUAAGCUUGAACACCGGUAAGCUCGAUUAAGCUCUGCUGCUCAUUUCCACUCCUACAUAGACCUAGUGAGUGGUAAACGAGUUCUUUUUUGACUCUUUACAUCCAAACAGGUAAUAAAAGAUGAGUUACAGAGAAAAGCAGAUCCAGGCCCAAGGAUUCUAGACUACCAAACAUUAUAAAGUUCUUUGGCGGGGUUGCAAGCUCCUCAUUAGAAACAGCUACCAAUAACCUGCAAUCUGGUGAUUAGGCUAAAUUAACCAGGAUGUAUUCCCCAAUUCCCAGCCAUCUGUUUUUUCUCUGCUGACUAUCUUACUCGAACCUGGCUACACACGAACACCCUACUCCUAUUUCUCCACAACUACACAAUUUUGUUCAUUGCAAUCAUGCAAAAUUGCAAUCACAAUAUCUACACAAUUCAGAAACCAAGUUUUGAAGUUUAGAAUUUUGAAUAUCAAUCUCCAUUAACCCCUUCAAUUAGAAAUUAAUUCAUCUAGUGAUUGCUAAAGGCUAAAGGCUAAAGGCAAAGGUAUUAACGCCUUCUCCUUACCAAGACUACAGAGGAAACAUAUUCAUCAUGGAAAGCAAUAACUAAAUGAAAAUGUGAAUUAACUGCAUUAACAACUCUUUUGGAAUUGUUCACUGUUGGUUGUAUCAUUGUUAUUCAUUUAACAUUAGCUAAUAUUUUUUUUAUUUUCUUUUUCCUUUUACUGUUAGUACUUGUGCUAAUUGACAAGCAUUACCUUUCUGUAUAGGUUAAUUGGCUGGUUUAACACCAUUUUCAGGAGCAUGAAAUACUAACUAGACACUUUGAUUUCAUUUGAUCAAUUAUAGCUUGCUUAGAUAUUUAUAAGGUAUCGUUUGGUUCGGGGAUAAGCAAAAAGUGGCUAUUCCAGGGAUAGGUAAAAAUUGAGGUAUAGGCGGGGAUUAGAUCAAUUUUGCGUUUGGAUGAAAAUUGGGUUAUUUCUGAGAAUAAAAAAAUAGCGUUUGGUUAGGUAAGAUGGAAUAAGAAGGAUAGUAGGUUUUAUAAAUAAAAAGUAAUGAUAUUAUCUUCUUAUUAUAUUUGAAUUUGAAUUUUUAAAAUUUUAAAUUUAUAUUUUUAAAUUUAAAAUUUUAACUUUGAAAUUUUAAAAUUUUAAAUUUAAAAUCUCAAAUUUUAAAUUCAAAAUUUUAAAUUUUAAAAUUCAAACUUUAAAUUGAAGAAUCAAAUUUAAAUUUUGAAAAAAUAUAAAAUAUAAAUUUUAAUUUCAAAAUUAAAAUAUCAAAAUUUAAUUUAAAAUUUAAAAUUUAAAACUUUAAUUUUGAGGAUUAUAAAUUAUAAAUUUUUAAAAUUUAAUUUUUAAUUGUUAAAUUUUAAAAUAAGAACUAGAGGUGGGCACAUUAAUAAAAAUAAUUAUUAUAAUAAAUUUUUAAAUUUUUAAAAUUUACUUAAACUUAAAUUUAAUAAAAAGAAUUUAUUAUAAUAUUAAUAUAAUUAUAAAAUUUAUUAUAAUAUUUAAAUAUAAAUAAUAUGUAUUAAUUUAGUACAAUUAAUAAUUUUAUAAUAAAAAUAAUGUAUUAUAAUAUAUAACAUAUUAUAUUUAUUUAAUUUAGUUUUAAUUCAAUUUAUAAUUUUAAUUAAGUUUGAAAUUAAGCGUUGGAAUAGUACUAUUCCACCAAAAGGGUGGAAUAGUACUAUUCCACCAAAAGGGUGGAAUAGCAAAUUCCUUGCAAUUCCGGGAUAAUCGGGAAUAGCAAGGUUUGACCUGGAUAAAAUAUCCCGGUCAAAUUUCACCCCGUUUGGUGGAAUAGCGGGGAUAACGAAAGUUAUCCCCGCUUAUCCCUUGAACCAAACGGGGUAGAAACUAAAGAAGUAGUGCACUGUACUUUUGCAAAUAGCAGAGUUCCAACAAAAAAUAGUAUUAAAUACUAUUUUGAUGAUUCUGGUUGUGUUUAAGGGGUGUUAGAGUGUUUUCGGCGCAAGAACAACAUGAAAACGGAUUUUGGAAAGCAAAAUAUGCAAAAUUUGCAGUUUUGCUGUGAGUACCGGUACUGAAAUUUGGGGUACCGGUAAUCAGCUGCAAGUUUGGCCGGAAAAGAUCUCGGAUUGUACGAAAUUUUACCACAGUACCAGUACUAAAGUUUGGAGAACCAAUACUAAAGUUUGAAAGUCUCGGUAUGAAAUAGAGACUAGAUGAUUUCAGGGUUCGGGUUCAGUGGAACUGCCCUUGGGUAAUAAUACACAAGGGAAGUGUACCAGAACCGAUGUUCAAGUACCGGUACUUAGCACUGCGAAACUUGAAUUUGCACAGAUUGCAAAUUCCAAUUGUUGGAGGGUUUAUGGGCAUAUUGUUACAUUUAUUUAUAUCUCCUCUCCUUUUUCUGUCAUUCUUCACUAGCACAAGAGAGGAGGUGAGUUCAUCUGCUUCUCUUCAUUUCUUCUCCAACUUCAUCUUACCCCCAUUUCUUCUUCUUUAUUUCCCCCUCCUUGAAGCUCUAAAAUCAUAGGCUUGGAGCGGAGCAUUGGGCUUGGAAGAAGUGGCUUGCAGCUUCCAAUCCUCAACUCGAGCAUCCUAAUUUUGGAUUAGAGCUUGGAUCAAGGUUAGCAAUUAAGUCUAGACUCUCUAAUUAGUUUGAUAUAAAGAGUAAAUUGAGGAUUUUCUAGUUCAUGUUAAACUAGGGCUAAAAAUUGGGAAUUUUCAAAUGCGGGGCUUUUUGUUGACAUUGAUGGGUGUAGAACCUUCUUAAAGGUUGGAAUUGAAGUCCCAACAACUUGGAUUGGCGAAAUUUCUAAGAUAACUUUUCACCUAUUUUCUAAGUAAUCUUUGGUUAAGUUAACUUGGUUAAGUUAACUUUUCACCUAUUUUCACCUAUUUUCUAAGUUAACUUUUCACCUAUUUUCACCUAUUUUCUAAGACAACUUGGUAAAGAUAACUUUUCACCUAUUUUCUAAGUAAUCUUUGGAGAAUUUCGGGAUGAAGUUUUUCGGAGGUUGUAACCUCUUGAAAAGUUCUUCUAGGGAUAAGAGAAGGUGGACAAUUUAGUUCAAGAGAUCUAAGGGUUUUUGCUGACUAUUCGAUAGGUUUGACCUAAUCAAAAUCAGUGAACCCCCUAUGCUUUCUACUUCUUUCAGCAUUUGGAAUUAUUGUAGAUGAUCUAAUACAUCACCACAUGCAUGUCAAUCAUAAACUCCAUAGUAUAUGUAAUAUAUCGAAACCUCAGUAGAGAUUAUCGAACUUUAGCCAAAUUGACUAAAAUAUGCAAAAGAGAUAAUUGGACAAGUUCCAAUUAGCAUUCCAACAAGGUUGGAAGGAUUAAAAGUGAGUUUAAAAGAGUUAGAAAGGUUUUUGCAUUGAUCGGAGCGAAAUUGGAUCGAAAAAGAUGCAAAAUCUGAAAUCUGGGCAUUUUGUACCGGUACAGCAUCAAUGUUGUACCGGUACACAUGUGGUAACCGAGGGGAAGCUGCUCUCGGAUUUGAGAAAGUUUGGCUGUGUUACCGGUGACACCCCUGGUGUGUACUGGUAUACUUUUGCAAAACCCGAACAGAUGGUCUCGGGUUUGGUUCUGCGCGAUCGUGUUACCGAUGACAGAAAGGCCUAUACCGGUACACUUUGGUCUGGCAGCAACAUUGAGGUCUGUUGCAAAUACAAGUUUUUGGGGGGCCUUUUUGCUAUUGUAGCACCUUAUAAAAUACCCCAACACCCUCUAUUCUCUCUCACUGCAGAGAAUACAUCUCCAACCCAUUUCUCUCCCUUUCUCUCUCUAGAAAUCUCUCCAAGGAGCAAGGAGUAGAAGAAGGAGAAGGGAUUUUGGUGGAGUUUUGGAGGAUUUGAAGGUUUAGAGGCUCUCCUACAAGGUAGAGUUGGGUGAGCUUUGGGCUAAGGUGAGUUUUAUACAAGAAUGUUUCUAGGGUUUGGAUUUACACCCUAAGUCUUGGAGUUUUGAUCUUCUUGCAAGGCUAUAAGAGCUUAGUAGAGGCCUUGAAACACAUGAAAUCCAUGGUUUCUUCAAGUGCUCUCAUGGUGGACUUCUAGGGUUAGCUUUAGAUGCCCUAGGAAUGAUUCGAAUGGCUUAGAAAUGGUGUUAGAGAGCUUCUUGGAUGGUUCUAAGCUUGUUUUUGCUUAGCUCCAAGAUCAAUCCAAGAAAUCUAGCAAUAUGACAUUGUUAGGGCACCAAAUUUGGGGCUUUUGCCCUAGGUUGUUUCCGAGAUAAAUUGGCCUUGUGGAAACCUAAUUGGGGAUAUAAUGAACGGGUUGAAAAACUCAGUUCGUCGAAACAAAGAGUCUAUGUAAAGUUAUUUAGUAAAAAGUCUAAUUUGGCUCUAUUUGGGUACAGAUCGCCGCAGCACGCGGAAUAAGAGUCUAAAAAUCACGAGAAUCGAACCCCAACUACUUUGCUACUAUUCGAGGUGGGGGGUGCACUCCGGAAUCGUUGGAUUCCCCUUUAUGUCUAUAUCACCUUUUAUUGAGCAUGUGUGUCAAUAGUCAUUCAUGCAUAAUAGGGUAAUUUACAUGUGAAUAUUGGUUGGGCUUCAAUUAUAUGCUUCUAACGUAGAUGAACAUAGUGAUUGAUAUGAACCAUAGAGGACAUGUUUGUUGGAACCCUAUACAUGUGUGAAUGUGAGAUUUGGACUAUAAUAAUAGUAAACAAAGGUGACAUUAACAAUAGAGACAAGAUUGGCAUUGAGAAAUGAAUCGUUAAACAAAGUUUAACCAUUAGUGGCAUUAUGGUAAGUGUAGCCUAGAGUGUGGCAUAUAUGACAAGGUAGAAACCUGUUAUAGUAUUGUGGCAUUGUGACAUUGCAGCUAUACGUCCUCAAGUUGAGGAUUGGAUCGAUACUCACGAUAAGUCUUGGCUUGAAAGAGGUAGCUCCUCCUCAAGCGGUGCACUCCGGAGUAGGUCACCACGGGGAUAGUGGCCCCGAAGACGGUCCUUCGAGUGGAAGUGCUUGGAGCCUCCUCGAUCAAUAGGGAUUUCGGGUUGUGAGUUUUUGGGGCUAACAAGGUUAACCGGUACAAUUGGGUAAAAGCCAAGGUAAAUUGUAGAAAAAGCACGCAUGCAUAUUCAUCGUUACAUGAUUAUAUAUCUAUUUGUUGACAGUUUUCUUGCAGGCAUAGUAUUAGCAUUAGUAUGGUUACUAUUCCCUUUUCUUGAAAUACUUAUGCCUAAAUAGACCUAGUGGGUAAGUCGGCGAGAUCGGUGGCCGAACCCACUGGGAACUUCGUUGUAGUUCUCACAUCACUAACCCUACAGAUUCGAGUGCGAGCGGGGCGGCGGAGGAUCGAGGCAAGGGUAUUGCGCCAUAGCUAGUGGCCACCGAAGUACAUACAUAGUCAUUCCCUUUUGAUCAUGUAUCAACUUUUAUUUUGUUGAUCAAGAGUUUAAAAGUUGAGAACAAUUCAUGUAUUUUGGAGAAUGAUUAUGAUGUAAAAAGAUAUUAUGAAUGAAAGCAAAUGAAUGUAAUAGUUUUAGUUUACUAGUAUUUGGUUUAAAUGUAAUUAAAUAUUAUGUAUGGCUGUAUGUUUUAGCUUAGAGCUUUCGCUUCCGUUGUUUCUUGCCCUCGUGCAAGUUUGUAUAAUUGCAAAUCUCUUUGUUUCAUUGCUUAAUUAUACUUGUUGUUGGAGCCUUGGGCGGGCAGGGAAGGCCCUGUCCGUUCAGCGUCUGUUGACGUGGCCCGAACCCGACCAAAUUGGCAGGGAGUGGGGCGUGACAGUAUAUGCCUUAAAUAGCAUGAUGCAUAAACUUCAUUAGUACAUGAGUUUAUUGAGACAUUGGCUAUCUAAGGGUUUUUGCUGACUAUCCGAUAGGUUUGACCUAAUCAAAAUCGGUGAACCCCCUAUGUUUUCUACUCCUUUCUUGUCGCAAAUUCUUGCUUCAAUAUAGCAUUUGGAAUUAUUGUAGAUGAUCUAGCACAUGACAUCACCACAUGCAUGUCAAUCAUAAACUCCAUAGUAUAUGCCUUAAAUAGCAUGAUGCAUAAACUUCAUUAGUACAUGAGUUUAUUGAGACAUUGGCUAUCUAACUAGUGGUUGCAUGAGUACUUCACUCUUUAAAUACCUUGUUGUAAGUUGAUAUGUACAAAUUCAUACUAGACAUGAAUACACUUGUUGCUACUUGGUCAUAUAACCUAACAUUGGCGAAUUGGUAUUUGGUCGAGAGCAUGAACAUAAGAACUCUUAUAUGACAAUGUAUGAGUAAAUGGGAUAGAAUGUCUUUGGACAUUGUGCAUGAGACUAUCUUUUGCAAGAGCCAACUAUGCUCAUCUAGCACAUCGCUUGGUAAGGUCACUCCCUACAAGCACGGUCCUUUGGAGGUAUUGCAAUCGCAACACCAGCUAGUCUUUGCUUUUUUAGCGCCGAUUGGGAUGUCGAGGGAAAGGAACAGCACCAUGGUGGGGAUGCCUACCAUGGGACCAUGAGGCACAAUGCAGGCUAAGACUAUACUUUGUGCAAGUCCUCGAGAGAUUUGGUAAAACAUGGAUAUUUGAACAUCAAAAAAUAAUUAUGCAUGCUUUAUAGUUGGGUUCACAUGGAUUAUACUUCACUUGCAUGAAGGCAUGGAAGUAGCUUAUGUUUAUACCAUAUUUGUUUCGGUUAUCUCUACUUCAGGAUUUAUUAUAGGCUAAAUUACAUAAAACCCCUCUGUCAAUGCCCGUUUUUUCACUUUCUCCCUCCGACUUUUAAAAUCCUACAUUUUGCCCCCUUAAAAAAUAAGAAAUAUUCACUUCAACUUCCGCCGUCAAUAUUCCGUUAGGGUUCGAUCUAUAUCCUAUUAUUUUUUUUAUACCCAAAAUACCCUCAGGAGUCAGGGCCUUUCUCUCAACAGUGCAGCCUCCUUCUUCACGAACAAUCUCCACGGCCAUGCCGCCUCGCCCUCACCCACCUCUCCAUCCAUGCCCAUACCCGCGCCCUCGCCCUCCUCUGUCUCCUCGCCUUCACACACCCUUUCAUCCACACCCACCCCGACCCCCUCUGUCGUCAAAUGAAGGGGCGGCACAGGUGUAGGAGGAGCAGGGAGCAGGUGGCAAGCGGAAUCGAAGUUGGAGUCGAGGGAGGCACAAAGGACGAAGGAAGGGCUGCCGAUGAAGGAGAAUUGGGGAGGAAACGAACAAAACAAAGGCAAUUUGGUCAUUUUGUCGUUACAGUUAACACCAUACAUCCCUGUGAACAUUUUUUAUUUUUUAAAGGGGCAAAAUGUAUGUUUUUAAAAGUCAGAGGGGAAAGUGAAAAAGCGGGUAUUGACAUGGGGGUUUUCUCUAAUUUAGCUUUAUUAUAUUCAUGCCUUAAUUCACCUAGUGGAGUAGUACGCCCGUCUUAGUGGCGAUACCUACUAGGAACUAUAUUUCAUAGUUCAAGCUCCCAUUGUUUGGUUGUUUUCUUUUCAAAGCCCUCUAACACAAGAGAUGCCUUGGAUAGCGGCAAGGGCAUUGCUAGUAGCUAGAGUCGUCCUGCCUUUGGACUUCAUAGAGGUUGCCUAUGUUGCUUUUACAUUUUUGGAGGUCCAUGUGAGAGAUGGACGUUGUAUAUAGAUUAGACUAGAUUAUUCAUGUAUGAGAGAGUUAUAUUUUGAAGGUGUAUUGUACUUGGCGUUGUAUUUUUCUUCGGAGAGCUGCUUUAUGUAGAGAUGUAUGUUUUAUUGUGGAACUGUCAAUGUAUGAUAAUAACCUUAAGUUAGUUUUGUUUAUGUUUUAUAUACUCUUGAUAUCCAACAUGUAGUAACUUGAUAUUAUCUUGGUAGAUAUUGAUUGAUUGUAGAUGCCUUGCGUGUUCGGGGGCGGCCUUGUGUACUCGGCAGGUCUAUCCACGUGCCGGGGGUAAUUUUCCACUGCGGCUCCGAAAUGUGACUGGUUGAGUUGGUAUCAGAGCCUAGGAUGUGUCUUAGUUGGACCUAGUAAACUCUAGGCUGCAAUUGGACCUUAAGGACUAAGAGCAUAAGUGACGGGGGAUGUAUGACUAAUGGCCAAAAGUGAUGUGAUUAGGUCUUGUUGAAAUCUCUAAUAUUGAUUAGAGUAUGAUCAAAGUGGUUGCAUCUUUGAUUUCCUUGGAUAAUCACAUUGGUUAUUUUAAGGGAAACGGGUCAGGAAAAAGGAGAAUAACAAAAGGAAUUGAGAUAAGAUAAAUAAAAGGAUAAAAAAGGAAAACCGAUUAGUGCUCAGUGGACAAGCUAGAUAGCAUCAAUUUAAUCAUUGGUGUUGAAAUGAUCAGGGGGUGGCUCGGGGGCAGCAAUCGGUAGCAGCGUGGCAAGCCAGUGGUGGAGAUGUCCACAGGCAGCAACGAGACAUCGAGACGGGACGAAGGCUUUGGAGGCAGUAGGUGGCCGCAGCUCCAAGUGACGGCGGCUGCGGUGGCAGAGGUGGCGUCAGUGGUCGAUGACGACACUAACUAUGGAUGCAGGCAACAGGGAAAAAGAUGAAAGGACUCGCUCCCUACAAACUCGCUCCGGUCGACGCAUAAAUGCGAAGUAGAGGACACAUCUCAAUGGCUAAAUAAUAAUAUUCAUCUUCAUUAUUUUUAAUCGUUCUAUAGAUAUGCUUAUUUAAAGAGCUUUCCUAGUAGAUGAAUAAGCUCAAAUAAGAAACAGAUGGAUCAGCUCAAAAUAAAAUCUCAACCUAAACAACUAUCCUAAGUCCUAACAGCAUGGAAAAUUUCAUAAUAAAAUCCCAACCUAUCCUAACAGAAUAGAAAAUCUCAUAAUAAAAUCUCAACCUAUCCUAACAAAAGAAACUAAAAUCUCAACUUACCAAAAUAAACAUAUUUUAAAACAAAAAUCACACAAUCCUAGAUACUUCUAGAAACUAAUAGGUGUGAUUCAACCAGAACCCAACCCGGAUUGAUCAAGCCACAUGCUCAAUUUGCGUUUGCGGCGUCGACUACGUUCGUACACCCAAAAGUGGACCCGAUCUGCAUCAGGAAAAGGCAAGAGACAAGCAACCAAGUGUUCAUUUAGCAUAACAAGCUCAAGGAGGCCACCCAAGCAUCCGAGAGCUGAUCUCAAGGGCGCGGCUCUUCUUCUCGGAGGACCUAUGAUUGUAGACAGCCACCCCGAUGUGUGAUCUACAGUGAACCACAUGUGCCUCUGCAAUGCCCGCAACAUGGAGGAAAGUGCUAUCUUUUCGGCCAGGUAGGCCACUUUUAGUCCAAGUGCCCCAGGGGUGCAGCAGCGCUAUCAUCAGCAUCAAUUCCAGUUUCAUCGAGGUAGAGCCCAAGGACCACCUACCUUUGCCCUGAAAAGAUGACCACUUGCACUAUGAGAGUUUGAGAGGUCACGACAGGCGCCUAGUGGGAGGAUGUAUGCGGCUCAGGCAAAGCAUGCACCCGCAAUGGACGUUGUAGAUGUCAUUUUAGUUAAUGGUAUUAAAGUUAGAGCAUUAUUUGAUACCAUUGUUUCACAUUCACUCAUCGAUCGACUAUUCACCGUAUUGCAUGGCCUUACGAUGAUUCAUACACCACACCCAAGACAAGUCUUGGUCCCCGGUCCUACCGUUGAUAUCAAGGAGUAUUGCCUAGGCUGCCCUGUUAGGGGGUGCACGAUAGGAUUAUGCCAGCGAAUUUGUUGGCGCUGCUCAGACUAGGAUAGCUUAAUGUAGUCUUGGGUAUAGAUUGGCUCACUAGAUACCACGCUACCAUAGAUUGUUAGAGCAGAACGAUGAUCUUCCGUGAGCCUUGAUAGGAGUUGAUUUUCAAGGGUUGUAGGGGCUCGCUUUUUGCGAUGCCGAUUUCCUCCGCUCGAGCCAAGCAAUUAAUCAAUAGGGGAUGUAUAUCCUUUUUGGCGACAGUUUUGGAUAGGAGCGAUGAGGCUCUGAGGCUUGAGGAUAUCUCUAUUGUACGAGAAGUCCCUGAUGUUUUUCGGCAGAGUUGUCGAGUAUGCCUCUAGAUCGAGAGAUCAAGUUUGUGGUAGAUUUGAUUCCUGUAUCUGCCCCAUAAGAUGGCUCCGGCUGAGUUGAAGGAGCUAAAGGCGCAAGUAUAGGUUUUGUUGAAGAAAGCCUUCAUCAAGCCUACUCUUUCACCUUAGGGAGCAUCGGUGUUGUUCGUAAAGAACAAAGAUGUAUCACUUCAGCUUUGUACAGAUUAUCGUGAACUCAACAAAGUCACGAUCAAGAACAAGUUUUUAUUGCCACAUAUUGAUAACCUCUUUGAUUGACUCCAAAGGUCAAAGAUGUAUUCGAAGAUUGAUCUUCCAUCAAGAAAUCAUCAACUUAAGUUUAAGCAGGAGAAGGUUCAUAAGACGGCUUUUAGGAUACGAUAUGGAUAUUAUGAGUUUACCAUGAUGCCGUUUGGACUCAUUAAUGCUUCAGUGGCGUUCAUGGAUUUGAUGAAUCGUGUUUUCAAGCCUUUCUUGGAUCGUUUCAUCGUUGUUUUCAUCAACGAUAUUUUCGUGUAUUCUUGAAGUGAUAAGAAGCAUAAAGAUCACUUGAGGCAAGUGUUACAAAUCUUUCAGGAGAAGAAAUUCUUCGCCAAAUUGAAGAAAUGCGAGUUUUAGCUUCAAGAAGUAGCAAUCUUGGAACAUGUGAUAUCAGAAGUCGAAAUUACAAUUGAUCCUAAGAAAAUUGAAGCAAACAAGAAUUGACUUAGACCAACCAAUAUCAAUGAGAUUCAUAGUUUCCUCGGUCUAGCAGGAUAUACCAACGAUUUUGAGGGAUUUGCGAGGACUUUCACUCCCCUCACUCAACUCACAUAAAGAAAUGAAAUUCAUUUGGAGUAAUGAGCAUGAGAAGAGUUUUGUAGAAUUGAAGAAAAGGUUGACAACCCUAUUUUGACAUUGCCGGUGGCGAGCGUCAUAUAUGUAGUAUAGUGAUGCUUCCUCUAGCGGAUUGGGAUGUGUAUUGAUGCAAAAUGAGAAGAUGACUCAUAUCUCUCGUCAAAUAAUAUGAGAAGAAAUUUCCCACACGACUUCGAGUUCGCGGCCGUAAUGUUUGCCCUCAAACUAUGGAAGCAUUAUGUAUAUGGUGAACAUUGUAAGGUAUAUACAGAUCAUAAGAGCUUGAAAUACCUCUUCACCCAAAAGGAGUUGAACUUGAGGCCGUGAAGAUGGAUGGAGCUGCUAAAGGAUAAUGACAUUUCUAUUCUCUACAAUCCAAGAAAAGCGAACAUUGUGGGUCGCAAAUUGGUAGAGAUGAUGGUUUGAGUUGGAGGUUGUGGCACCUGAGAUGAAGUUGAUGAUAUUGGUGUUGAAACCUACCUGGUUGGAGAGAAUCAAGGAGAAACAAACUGGAGAUUCAAGUUUUCAAGGAAUUCGCUCGAACAUUAAGGAAGGUCACGUCGGUGGAUUUCAUAUAGAUGAUACAGGUGUACUUCAGUUUCGAGACCGAUUAUGUGUGCCGAUAGAUACGGAGAUUUGAGAAGAGAUCUUAAGGAAGGUUCAUCGAUCACCUUAUACACUUCAUCCGAGUAGCACUAAAAUGUAUAAGAAUUCGAAGUUGCAUUAUUAGUGGCGCGAAAUGAAGAAGGACAUUGCGCAAUUCGUGGUACAAUGUUUAUUUAUUUCAUUUAGAAAUAAACUUAGCUAGAAAUGUAAAGCAACUAGGCUUCGAACUUGACACCUUGGGUACCAACCACCAAGCCCUUUGCCACUUGCACUAGGGACGGUCGGUCAAGGUCAUAUUAUUUAAGAUUACAAAAAUAUACAAUUAAUGCAUUUGUUUCAUUAAUUAAUUUUAGAUAAUGCUAUCAGAAAUUUCAACAUCUUUUUAGAAAAAAAUCAGAUAAGGUAUUAAUGAUCAAAUAGUAAUAAAUAAAAUUGCCAGCUAAUAUACCUUUGUUUUUUUCAACAAUAAUAAAGAAUUUGUUUUAGGUAAAUUAAGAGAGCUAGCUUGGAGAAAAGAGAAAUUUGAGGUUAAGGGAAAGAUGAGACUAGAAAGAGAGUUUUUUAGGUUAGAGAUGUGAAGAUAUAAAAAAAGAGGAAGAGCUUAGCUUACAGAGAGAGAUUUGGGCUUAGAGGGAGCGACAUAUUUGAGAUUUUAGAGAAAGAAUGAGAGAAGGGCAUAGUCGAGGAGCAUAAUUAAAGAAAUAGGGAGAGAAGUAGAGUCGAGGUUAGAGGGAAUAAGAGUUGAGAUUUUAGAAAGAAAGGGGGGAGAGAGCUUAACUUAGAGAAAAAGAGUUUAAGUUUAGAGAGAGAAAGAUUAGGUUAUCGAGAGAUAUGAGGUUAGAGAGUACAGGAAAACAAUAGCAAUUUGCCAGCAGAUGGGGAGAAAAAAAUAAGUGGGCUAGAUUAGACAUAUUAUGAUUACCCUAAUCUAUUAAAAUGAGGAUACCCACUCUCCCUCAAAGGAAUGAGAUUAGUACUUUGGGAUGAAUCUCAUUCCCAAGUAUAUCUAGCAUUACCAACUAGAUUAUUUAAUGCGUUUAGCCAAAUACCGUCAUAUUUUUUUAUUCUUUUUGGAUUACUAGGAAUCUUAAAAAGAUAGUGCGAACCAAACACACCCUUAAAAGCCUUAUCAAUCUCUCAAAUCCAACUUGUAAGCAAUUAAACCCGACACUGCUAAGAAAAAUGAAUUUUUGACAAAUGAUCAACAUGAACUGAAAGGGAAAGCUACAAAACCAAAGUGGUAAAGUGAUACCUAUUAUCAUCAUAAAACUCUGUUAAAUUCUGGAUCUCCACAUACUCAAGACCUGCUUCUCUUGCUAAUCUGAUCCAGUUUUCCAUAAUCAGUUCUCUUUAACUAGACUAUCGAGAAACAUAUGUGUUUAAAAAGUAAGAAAAUGAAAAGACAAAUAAAUAAACCAUAACCUAAUAAAGCUCGCAAAAUGCACUAAGCAAUGGGUCUCAGAUGUGAUGUCAUUGGCAAAUUUUAGUUGAUAUUUCUUUCCAAAUAAAGGAAACCUGAAAGAUAUAUAUAAAAACAUUUUAGAAAGUUUAAAACAAAAUGGAUAAAUUACAACUAGGUCCUUGAGUAAGAAUAUAAGUAGGUCCUUACACAUCAUAUAUCAAUGAUGCCCUCCAACUUAAAUUAACUUGCAAUUUGGUCCUAUUGUCAGCCUUCACCUGUAAUUGGGUCCUUCAGUCUGCGGUUGUUUGCAGCACAUGCCAAAACCUCAGAUAACAUAGACAAGAUGACAUUUUAGUUUCGAAACUUUAGGGUUUUCCGUUAAUUUGGUGGCAAGAGAACUGGAAAAAAGUUCAGCACCAUAUUCUAUAUCCAGAAGAAGAUUAAGAAGAAGACAGAGUAAGUUCAUCAGGCGCUAUUACACAUUCAGUAGAAACUACAAGAUUGAACCAAAUUCAUGUACUUUUUUGACAAGCUCAUCCUCUCUCUAUUAAACCCUGUAUGUUCUUUUACUUGGCUAGUUUUAGUCACAAGAGAUACACUAAAAUAUCACUUGAGUCCUCUUUAAACCAACCGCACCGAAAACCCUCUAAUUCCCUUGGAAAGUGACAUCUUGUAUAUGUUACAUGAACUUGUCAUCUGCUGCCCAGCUCCACUAGCAAUUAGGAGGAGAAAGGACCAAAUACGGAAAAAAAAGUUUAAGGACGUCAUUGCUAUGAUUUCAAGUACAAGGAUCUACUUAAAAUUUCAGAUGAAAAGCUCAGGCACAUAGAUGUGAUUUACCCAAUGAAAAAUGUCAACUGAACCAAAAGUAAAACUAGAUCAAUUGUCUGUACUUCUCUUCCUCAACUUCGAAAGUAAUAACAUAGUUUUCUGAACGUAUGCAAUUUGUGACUGCAGUUGGCUUCAUACCGCUUCCCUUGUUAUGUGAAGCUUCAACAUUCUUUUGAUACUUUGUCCUAAAAAAUUAGCACAAUUUGGUUAUUUUUAAUGAUAAAUAUGUAAAGGAUAAGCUGGAGAUGCUGAUCUAUAGUUAUUUUGGAUAUAGAAAAGACUCAAGGAAUUCUAACAAAUUUUGCACUAGCACAGUGAGAUACAACCAGCCAAGAAAAAAGACAACAAUCCAUAAACUUAGGUCACCUCGGCAUAAUUUUUAAGCAGUAAACUAUCAAUCUGUUAAGAUAUGGUGUCGAAAGUAAACACUAAUAAAUAGUAGGACUGCAACAGAACCAAGGAAUUAAGUGCCGCCCCGUGCCGUACGGCAAGGGGCGUGCCUUACGGUGCCCCCAAGAAGAGGGUACAGGGGGGGUAUCGCACCCCCCCGAGUCUCGCGGCAUGCUGGUGCGUGCCGCCGCCAGCACGUACCGGUGUGCCGCCUUUUUUUUGGCUUUUUUUUUUUGGUUCUUUCUUCUUUUUUUUUUGUUCUCUAGGAUACAGAGCCGCCCCCCCCGCAAGGCCAUCUAUAUUGCAUUUUUUUUUCACUUUUCUCUUAUUUUUUUGACAUCGUGUUGUCUUUUUGUCAACUUUUUUUUUUUUGUUUUUUGGCCGAUGCCUUUUUUUUUUUUGCCUUAUGGCUUUUUCUUUUUUCUUUUGUUAAAUUAAAAAUUUAUAAUUUAACUUCUUAUUUAUCAAUAUAAAAGUAAAUUUUUAGUUGACAUAUCUGAUUCCACCACAGACAUCCAUUUUUUCUUCGCAAAUUAUUUUGCCAAAAUUUGUCACACCGCGAAACUUUCGAUGAAUCAGGGAAACAAAAAUCGAUCUCUUAGACAAAUUUUGAUCAAAUAUUUUUUAAAAGAAUAAAAAAGAAAAAAAUAUAUGGAUGUAAUUGCGGUACUAUUCUGGUUGUUCUAGUCAUUAUAUGCUUCCUAAUCGAAUCAAUAUAUACAUCUUGAAAUGUUUUUAGAAAAAAUAAAAUUUUCUUUCAUUUUAUCUGUUAUAAUUUUUUUAAUUCUAAAAAAAAUAAAAACAAAAGAAAUUUCAAAUGUUACAGCAUGUAUAGUUGUACUUAUCAAAUAAAAACAAAAGAAUUUUAAUUUCUAUUCUACAUCAGGUAUAAUUGUACUUUAUAUACAAAAUAGUAACAUGCAUGUUAAUUGAUGAGUAUAGUAAGCUAUACAUAGCAAAUAUUAAUAAUUAUUUGUCUAAAUCUUUCAAAAUAACAUUAUAAAAACUUAUUGGAACCAAAAAAACUUAAAUAAGUUCGUGCCAAAGCGUGCCAGUAGAAGGUCAUGCGUAUCCAUCGGCACGCACGCAUACCACGUGUCGGCAUGGAAGCAUGCCCGUACCGUACCGUGCCAGGGAAAUAGCGGCAUGCCCCCGUACCACGGCACUUUAAACCUUGAACAGAACAAUACAGACCAAAUCAAAGAAUGGGUAAAUUGCACUAAUGGUUCCUAAACUAUUGGAUGGGUUGCACUUUUGGACCCUACACUCUGGUUUGCCCCAUCAAAUUAAGCUAUACUUAACAACAAAGUAUUCAAAUCGAAAUUCUAAUCUUUGAUCUAUAAAUCUAUAAUAUCCGAAAGGCCUGUAAUUUUAAAAUCAAAGUACUGAGGACCUCUGCACUCGAGAUUAGCUUUCGGUAUAUGGAUGAUGUGAUGGAAUGGGUAAUACCCAAUAAUCAUUUCCGUUCCUUGUUAUUCUGCUAAUGUGACAGUAACAUGGUGAUUGCAUGGAAAGAAAUGUAGCAGAACAAUUUCUUUGCUUCAUUAAACCAAGAUAACCAAUACAAAGGCUUUUAUAUAAACAGGUUCCUCUCUAUGUCAAGCUAUUACCUUUACAAGUCUUGCUUCUCCCAGACAUUCCUACUAAGGUGUUUCACUGUUUAUAGACUCAGAUAAUUUACUAAGAACAAUUUAUAUUGUAAUCUGCCAAAAAGAGAAUAAAAGUGAAGGAACUCAGAAACUUAAAGAUGAUAGUGAUGCAAAAUAGGCUGACGUAAGGAUUGCCAAUGUCAGUACAUCACUACAUACCCCAUGCUAGUGGAAGGCAACUAGCACACCGGCACAAUUUUAUUUAUUAAUUUUUCCUAGAAAAUUAGCUUCUUGGAGUUUUUUAAUGUUUACAGUGCCUUUAAAAAUGGUCCAAGAUAUUAAAUUAGAUGAAGCAACCAUUAUUCUCCAAUAGCUAAAUCAGAAAAUGAUAUUUUCAAUAUGUAUAUUUAACACUCCGUCUCACGUCUGGGCUCAAAACUUUUUGAUCGACCCAAGAUGUGAACUUGAAUCAAAUAGGAAAAAAUUAAAUAACAUUAUAUAACGAUACGGCCCGCUAGCACUAAUAACUCGUUAAGCGCAAACUACCGACCAAAAAUGCUUAAGCCCAAUUAUUAGUUCUAGUAUGCCCGUCAUACAUACUUCCCUUGUUUUAGGCCCUAACGUACUCGUUGGCCCAAUCACAUAAGAGUCCGAAAUCACUAGGCGAUGUGAGGCCCACCUCACACUUACGGCUAGUGAACUAGUUUUAAUACCAACUGCAACGACCUAGCCCACUAGUACUAAUAACUCGUUGAACCCUAAAUUACCCGCCCAAAAUGCUUAAGCCCAAUUUUUAAUUCUAGUGUACCCGCUACAUAAAAGCCCCUCACACUUUCCCACAUUAAUCGAUGUGACAUAGUCCCGCCGUUUUAGACUGAUGUCCUCGUCAAUCCAGCCUAAUCACAUACAUAACCUAAAAUCACAGGCGAUGUACGACCAGCUAACACUACCGGCUAGUGAAUCGGCUCUAAUACCAAAUGUAACAACUCGGCCCACUACCACCAAUUACUCGUCAGACCCAAACCACCACGCCGAAAAUGCUUAAGCCUAGUUAUUAUUAGUAGGAUCCCUGAUUGGUGUAUUAAAGACUCUGACGUUCUCGUCAAGUUCAAACCCAAUAACACAUAUAGCCCAUGGAAUAGCCCUAUAUAUAAGAUAUAGUAGGGUUAAGUGUAGUGUUCUGGAGCUCACUAGCUGGAUUCAGAUACAGUGUGGGCAACUGGUCAGCAUAUCUAUAGGGUGUUGAACAGAAUUAGAGCUGUUUUAGCACGACAUGGAUGGGAAAAUAGACUCAAAAUCUCAAAAUCUGCUGAAACUGAAGUUUCUAUACGUUUUGGACGCCCAUAAAGUACUUCGGGCGCCCUAAAGUCCUGUGCAGGUUCUGAUGUUACUUCGGACCCUACUUCCGAAUGCUCGAAAAUACUAUAGCCUCCUGGAUUUGAGUUGGUGGCAAUCUGACUAUUGGUUUGACACGUGUAUAGUGACUCAUAAGAUGCGCCCGAAAACUUUCAGAUUACAUAGCUACGUGAAUCCGGACUUCUCACCGAACACCCGUGAGAUCAUUCAGGCAAAGUUACGACGGGUUCAGACACCCGAAAUCUCGAUUCAGACGCCCAAAAUCUCAAUUUGAGCGCUUGAAAAUGGCGAUUCAGGCGCUCAAAAUCUCAAAAUCUGUUGAACUGAAGUUUCUAUAGGUUUUGGACGCCCAUAAAGUACUUAGGGCGCCCUAAAGUCCUGUGCAGGUUUUGACGUUACUUCGGACCCUACUUCCGAACGCUCGGAAAUACUAUAGCCGCCUAGAUUUGAGUUGGUGGUGAUCUAACCAUUGGUUUGACACGUGUAUAGUGAUUUACAAGAUGCGCCCGAAAACUUUCAGAUUACGCAGCUACGUGAAUCCGGACUUCUCAACCAAACGCCCGUGAGAUCAUUCAGGCAGAGUUACGACGGGUUCAGAAGCCCGAUAUCUCAUUUCAAGUGCCCAAAAUCUCGAUUCGGGCGCUCGAAAACGGCGAUUUAAGCUGAGAGCAUUAUUUCCAAUUUUUCCAAUGGCUUAAUUGUAUUUGUUCUUUGCAUAUAAAUACCUACCAGGGGUUAUUCUUACACUAUUCCACCCGUCCCAUUCACCAGAGAUCUCAUUAGACGCCUCUACUACUCUUCUUCUUUUUCUACUAGUGAUGUAUAUCCCUAUAGUCCGAGAAUGUGUUUUUCCUUGAGUUGAUAUGUAUGCCGCCGGAUAGAGAGGUCUAGUUUGUGAUUGACGUAGUGUUACGAUAUAUUUUAUCUAUAUUAGGAUACUGUGUAUUGCCUUCUAUAGAGUAGUAUUAUUGCUUUCUAUAGAGUAGAAUUAUAUAGUAUGUAAUCCUAGUUAUACUCUUACUAUAGUAGUCAUUGUUACUAUAGUAAGACAAUCUCUUGUACAAUAUAUAUUCGUUAAUACAACUCAAAAGGGCAUGCUCUUUUGCCCUUCUUACAUGGUAUCAGAGCGGGAACCCUAAUGUGGAGAUAUCAAUCCAUAGCCAUCAUCCACCAUAAGUCUCACCUUUUUCCAUAGGUGUUUUUUCUUUUGGUAUUCUAUCUCCCUGGUACUGCUACAGUACUAUCGCUACAGUACUGGCGCUACAGUACCGACAGUGCUACAGUGCCUCUGCUACAGUAUUUUCAGCCUUUUUGUGAUUCCUCUUUGCUCCUCUGGUGCCGCUUGGACUAUCCUACUACUGGUUGCUCGUAUCGCUCGGUUCUUUCCUUGGUGCGGUCGAUCUUAUUUGGUGAUAAGUGGUUCCACUCUUGUGUGGUAGAAAUCAGGUUCUUUUUUAUUCUCAUCUGCUACAUUUCGAUUUAUCUUUCUUUCAUAUCUAGUGGUGGAUCCUUUCUCUUAAGGUGGUAAACAUGUCUUCUUCUACCUCAAAUUUGCCAAUUGUUAACAUCAAAACUCUCAUACCACUAGUGUAGUAUCCUUUUAUAUAUACCGCGAUCCGGGAAUGGCGCUAGGAGCGGCACACUUGAGCGCGAGCCGGGACAUCAUUUUACCCCCACUCUUGAUUGAAGGAAUCAAGGGUCACCAAAGCCGGCAGCUGAGGCGGCUAGAGGGGUGAUCCAGGUUCGCCCGUUUUCAUCUAUUAGCUAUUUAUCUAUCUAUUCCUUUCGCCAUUUACUGUCUUCAUUUCGAUGCGAUGAUACGGGUUAGUAUUUAUAUACUUACGUACAUGUUACUUUAUCUAUUUGUUGAUUGGGUAAUAGUACAGGUUUCCAUUUCGAUAACUGAGCAAGUAGUUAGAGUAAAUGAACAAAGAAUUAGAGCACCGAAGGGACUUCCUCGGAUGACGAGUGAUCGGUAGAGCUUCCAUCCCUCCCAGUUGAGCGUGAUGCUUGGCUCUGGCAGACGGCCCUGGGUUUUAUCCGCUAGGGAACCCUGGGUUUUAUCCGCUAUGGUGCACUGGUUGAGGCCUCGCGUGAUGAACACACCCCGAAGGUAGUGUUCUAAAUUUUUGUCUGGCACUCGUACUAGGUUAGUAGCAGAGCUCUUAUGGGAUAGGAGAUCCCAAUGUUAGUAGUACAUCAGGUAUCCGCAGCAUAUGUGGUUCAAAUUGUACGUAGUGAACAAAAGAAUAUGUGAUAGUUGAUCUAACGGUGAGCAGGUACCAAAUGAUAGCUGAUCUACGGUGAGCAAGAAACAAAUAGUAAUCUGGUUGGUAACUCGGGUAGAGAAAGAGACGUGAUAUCCCAAGUGUUCAGAGCUGGGUUAGGAAUAGCUAGGUGAUACAGUUCAUAGGUUAUGUACGAUGCUAUAGUAGUUCCUUUCGUAUUCCUUUCCGUUACGUGUUAGUAGGAUAUUACGUUAUUAUGUUCUACGUCUUAGCUUUACAUGAUUCUGUAUCUUCCCUCGGGCUAACGAAGCCCUACCUGUGGUGGGUGGAAAAUAUCACAAGGCUAACGAGCAGCAGUGAGCGUUAGCCGGAGGACGCCGCGUGUGGCGUGCCGAGCUGGGUUGAGUGCGCGCUGACGGUUUACUGGAGGAUAGGCACUAGACCUUUAAUUUCCAGAAGCCAAGGAGCAGUGCUACGACUUUAGGCUAAGGCGCUAAAUACCUUCGGCGGAGUCGGGAGGUCCGCCUUUGCUUCGGAUUGCAGGCAAAGAAAUUAUUGAAGCGUGGCCGAGCUGCUUAGCGGCUUGGCAGCGAAGGUUGCGCAAGUUACUGGAUAGUUAAUCCAAAUGUCUCCCAGUUUACUCUAGUUUGGGAAUAUAAAGGUUUUUAACGUAAAACUCGGGAUCCAAAUAUUGAUCCGUUCUUAAUUGAUUUAACUAGGAUCUAAGAUCGUUAUUAGUAGAUAAAUCGUACGAUCUUAUCGAGAUUUAGGUAAGAACUUCGAAUUUUGGGUUUGAUGUUUCUCUAUGGUAAUUUCCCAAAACUUCGAAUGGAAGUUUGGAACGAGGUUACCUCUCCUUCUUCUACCUCUUCUACCUUUAGGUGGAAUCUCGAAGCUAGAGGUGGUUUUAGUAAAAAAAAACCCUCUCUAAAUCUCUCUCUUUCCCCUCAAAGAGAGAGAGGGAAGGUACGCACACACUCACACACACACAGCGUACACACACACGACGUGCCAACUCCCUCCUUCCUCUUCUUCCCUAAUUAGGGAAAAAUGUUCAAUCAGGGAGUUGAAAUGUGAUAAGUGUAGUCAAUCGUCAAGCCUUGUCAACCUCGGGAAGACUUACAGGCAAACUCGAGUUUAAACUGUCCGUACGAGUCAAAUUGCAUGACUCAUUCUUAUAUAGAAUUCAAAAGUCAAAGCUGGGGCAAACCAGUGGCUUUUGAUACGUCUUGACAUUAGAAAUCGUCUAUUGAGCCUAAAAUAAAGAGUGAGAUGCCCACAAUCUUUUUAUACUUUGGAAUUUAGAUCGGAGUAUUUUUAUAAAGACUGUAUAGGAGGUUAAAAGUAUUAAAAGACUCUGACGUAAAAGACGAUUAAAAACAGGGCAAAGGUUGUCUUUUAAGGUCUAUAAGACAAAAGUAGGGCUAAAGUCGUGUUCAGUGAAGACUGAAUACAAAAUGAAGAGAUUUAGGUUAUUUUAUCAUAGAGUAUGAUAAAAAUAAAUAAAAAAUAAAAAUAUAAAUUUAGGCCAUAUAAUGUAAUGUGACGUUGGAAUGGCCUUGGUAAGUUUACCGAGAGGUUGGUUUACCUGUGGCAUUGGAGUACUAAAAUCUUCAGGCCAUGGAAUGUCGAGACCAUGAGAGCCACGUCGUGAGCCACAGACUCGGUGGGAGAGUGUGUUGGAGACGUUGUUGAGGGGGACGACGGAGCAGUGGAGUCAGUCCCGUCGAUUGACACGUGAGUCUAGUCCCCCACGCGAUCGGAGUCCAGCGCGUGAGCCGAGGUGUUGUCCCCCACGUGAACGGAGGCCAGACAGUGGGACGAGGACGGCUCAUGGGACGAGAUAAACGACUCCAGAGAGUCUUCCAGGACAUACUAGGGCGCGGUUGACCCGUGCGAGUGCGUUGCUGCCAGCUGGAGCCGCUGCUAUGUAUCGACUUUCCUUGUCUAGUCCCAGUCAACUUUGUGUUUAUGAGAACUGGGUUAGUUGCUUUCAGACCUUCCGCCAGGGACAAAGGGAGGUUUUGAUACAGCAGACGUCGGUUGUAUUAAAGAGUCCGGUUUUGUCCAUGAGGAAGUUAGUGAGUGAGGUGAGAUCCUUCUCAAUUUUGUUGAUUAGUAACUGAAAGCGUUAUUUAAUGCGGAGAGCGCAGAACGAAAGGAUUCCAAACGGUUGAAUCCCAAAGAUCCAGGGUUGCUGAAUAUCGUUUCGAGACUAUGGUUGGAUUAGACAGUGCGGGGCCUAAUGUGCAAGGGGCCCGUGCGGCUGUUUAGGCGGCAUAUGUUUCCUUAAAGGGGACAUAUGCUUCGCUGUCGAUAUGGACAUUUGGCAUGUUAUGAUGUUUGUCAUCAUAUCUCGACGAUCUCAUUUGUCUUCGAUUUGUUUGCCUCAAGGUUUAUGUAUCAGGUUAUUGUUUUUUUUUGUUUCGAUGAGCGUGACCGCUCAAUUCAUAUGAUACAUGUACUUGAGUUUUGUUUUGUAGAUGGACGUCAUCCCCGUGGAGAUCGAGCCGUGCAGACCAUCCCGAGAUUGAGCGCUGCGGGAACGGAGCUAAGACUAGACGCUGUCGUCGUCGGCUGCUGCUACCGAGACGUUUUUGUCUCCCAUUGUUGUCCCGCACUCUUGAUGACAUUUUUGUCCAUCAGGAGUCACCCACGGCGGGAGUUGUUGUAGCCAGGUGGGUGAUUCAGAUGUCUUCCCUCGUUUCUAUCAUCAUUUACGUCCUUAUUUUAGAUGGCGAUACUUAGUGAUGUGAUAGUAUGAGAUGUGAUUGGUUGACAUCCUUUACAGUUUUGACUGGGUUAGGUUAGCCCUGCCAUUUGGAUGGGCAGGGACCCUGACACUUAUGUGGUCAGGGAGGGGUCAACGCUGAUAGGUCGAUGUAGGUGUGAUUGACCAGGCACCUCUCGUUCAGGUUGGCCGUACUCGCUGUGGUUGCGCUUUCGUGUUUCGGGCAGAGGCCUCACCGUGAGCACCCGCGAUGGGUUGGCUCAUACGUCGCAUAGAGACAGCUCGAGUUAGUCCGAUACUUUUCGGUUUCAGUUCAUUGGCUGAUAUUGAUCAGAUUAUUGGUUGUCAAGUGCACGGGAGCCGUGUUAGACAGCGGUUUUUCCGCUAGGCCCAGGUGGCAGUUGAGACUGCCGUGGGUUGUCAGGCUUUGUCGGGUUUGCUGGGACAUUUUUAGGUGAGCCGCAUGGUCGUGCUCGCAUUUACACAAGAUUUGAUGGACCUCAUGAGCAGAGAUCCUAUGACGCUGUCAUGUUAAAAUAUUGCCGAGGAUCUCGAUUUAGUCCGUCAAAUUUGUUCACUGUCCAGGUUUAGCGUCCAAAAGAGGAUUAAGUUUAAGGUUCAGGUUGUACAUAUUUGAUGAGUUAAAUAAAGGUGUACGAGGUUUAAGUCUAAACGUUAGAUAGUAUACUAGGUACUUAAGCUCCGUCUUAUCCGAUAUGAUUUUAACUUAAAAUGUGUACAGCUGCUAAUCUUGAAUCCUCAGUUUUGGCUACAUUGGGUGGAGCUAGCGAUUUGGGGCCGUCGCUCCAGUGGUUUUUAGGGGUUUAGGUGACCUUUUUGGUCCCACAGGUCGAGUUCAAGCUUUAGUGGGACGUGUGUAGCGUUGCUUCUUGAGGUUGAGUUUAAGACAGGCUUUGUGUCGUCGUCUCCUCUUGUAUUAAAGCUGGGUCGAUUGGAAGUUGUUUAGCUCGUUUAUUCCCGAAGCACCUAAGGAGAGCUUCAGGACUUAGGUUGCUUGGUUCAGGGCAGUUUUAGGCUGCAAGGAUGUGGCUCAUACUCGGCUUUGUGACUGUCAGCUGCGACUUUUAGUCGUGCGCUCGAGUUUUGGCACGCAAGUUCAUUAGGUUCCUCCUUUCAAUCCAUGGGUGGAGCUGUCGCUUAGGUCGCGGCCACGCUGCAGCUCCUGCCGCUUUUGGUGUGGGAGCGAGCUUGAGGAGCGCUACGAUGCUGACGUUGGCAUAGGAGCUUGCCGAGGCGCCACGCUGCAGCUGCAGCUUAGGCUCGAGGCGCCGAUGAGGGGACUCGAGGUGGAGCACACCGAGAGAUGAAGUGUAAUUUCUCUAUUUCUUUUAAAAUUAAUCUCGUGGGAGUUCGACUCUUCACCUAUCCGUACGUACGUACCCCCAUGCACCGUCGUAGGUAUAUAUAUAUAUAUNNNNNNNNNNNNNNNNNNNNNNNNNGAAUUUGAAUUAGGAGAAAACCUGCGAUUUGGACCUGUCACUUGUUUAAACUGCCUGAUUUAGCUCUAGGAGCCGUUAUAAAAUUGUACUGUCGCAGUAUCCUAGAGACGAGUACUCCAGAUAGUUUAGAACACAUUUACGCUCGUGCUGGUACGCCGAGUGGAUUUUUACAGGGUCGUUUGGGCUGUUUCGGACUGUUGGGUGCCGUCAGAGUUGACGGUGGACCCGGAUCGCCUUUUUGGCGACAGAUUGUGCCGAGGGCACGUGAACUGUUGGUUAUUAGACUAGUUAUAGUCGGUUACUUGACUUUGGCUUUUCAUAGCCUGAUUGAGCUCGACAGAGAUACGCUGCAUACUCGGUUGGGUAGCGCCACGAGUGCCACUCCGGAAACGGGCUUUGUGCUUUCGCGUUGGUGUCGCUCAUGCCGGUUGGACUUGCUCUCCACCGACCAGUUAGUGUGGAGGUAGCUGGAUAGUCGCAACUGGGGAGGGACUGGUGUAUUCACAGUCCCAAGGACGGGUAGGUUUACCGUCCCGAUUGGAUUGGGUCAGAUUUGACAUUUCCUACAGUUGGUUAGUGUAGAGUAUGAUAGUGUAGUGAUUCAUAGCAGUAGAUUUUAUUCCUGCAUUUACUACUAUCUUUGCUCCCUUCUGUAGACUUAAUGGGUGGACCGAUGUUGUUGAGGGCGGCACCCACUGAGGACUACCUGUUUUUACAGUAGUUCUCACGCCUUGUUGUUACCCCCUGUUUUUGCAGAGCCAUCGUCGUCGGCUGCUGCUGUCGCAGAUCAGAAUCGAGGCAAGGGCGUCGCGAGUUAGAGCCCUACCAGACGUGCCAAGCUAGAGGUGCCCCUACUGCAGGUAGAUAUUUUGUUUUGAGUUCAUGUACAUAGUAUACUUAACUCGCCAGUGCGAGUAGCUUUGUUUUUUUUUGUUAUUGGACUAUGUAUAUGGAACUCCGUUUGUUUAGCUUCUAUUUACUCUAGCAACUCUAUACUACUGUUUGUAGUAUUGUACAGUUUACAGAUACAGCUGUCGCUUCGUAUACAGGGGAAAUUCCUUUGUAUACGGCGGAUUUGUCGGCGUGCCCGGGGAACGUGUAAUCCGGGGCGUGACAACUAGAACUCACCGAUUCCACAUAUCUUGUGUGGAAACAAGUCUUUCUUAAUGUUCUAGAAAGUUUUGGUGUUACAACACAUGUGGACGGAACUAGUGUUGUGCCUUCUCAAACUAUCGAUACUGCUGAUAAUAAAGUGGUUAUAAAUCCUGAAUAUGUAAGUUGGAAAAAAGACGAUACUACUAUACUUUCAUGGAUUAAUGCCACUUUAUCUCUUAGCAUAUUACAAAUGGUUAGUUCUAGCUCACCUAAAACUGCAUAUGAUGCUUGGAGAAUUAUUGAGGCAUAUUUUCUUGAUAAGACUGCUUUCACGGCUUUUUCUCUAAAGUCUGAAUUGCGGAGCAUCAAGAAAGGCUCAAUAAGCAUGAGUGAUUACAUGCAAAAGAUCAAGACGAUCGGUGAUUCUCUUCAGGCGAUUAGUGAAAUCGAGUCAGACCAUAAUUUGGUCGUGACUGUUCUUCUAGGGCUACUAGAGGAAUAUCGAGAUUUUGUUAGUGCUCUAAACACACACAGAAAUAAGCCAACUUUUGAACAACUUCGUCUACUCUUAAUGCAAGAAGAAACAGAAGUCCAGCGUCGUACUAGUGUGACUACGUCCUCUGCUAUUCCCACUAUUGAUGGUGAAGCUCUUUAUGCCAAUCGUGGACAUGGUAAUCGUGGAGGCCGUGGAGGCAGAUAUCGUAGAGGCCGAGGACAGCGUGGUAGACACUACUCUGGUCGUGGAUCUCCUGGAAUCUACCCAAAGUCUCAACCCAAUUAUCCUCAACAAUCUUACACUCCAAAUCAACAACCGUACAUUCCGAAGUCUGGCAUACAAUGUCAGAUAUGUGGAAAGUUCAAUCAUUCUGCUCUUCAGUGCAGACAACGCUUCAAUCAUUCUUUCGUUGCCGAUGAAGUUCCUCAGACCUUUGCUGCUAUGAACCUUCACGAACCCGGUGAGGUCUGGUAUCCGGAUACCGGAGCAUCAAAUCAUAUGACCUCAAACUCUGGUAUUCUCUCAUCUUCUAAACCUUAUAGUGGGCAUGAAAAAAUUCUUGUUGGUAAUGGAAAUUUACUUGAUAUUACUCAGACAGGUGAAACUCAAUUGAAUACAUCUUCUAACUCUUUUGCUCUCAAAAAUGUUCUUGUUGUUCCUACUAUUAAGAGAAAUUUACUUUCAGUGCGUAAAUUCUGUCAAGAUAAUAAUUCUCUUUUUGAAUUUGACUCUACUGGUUUUUCUAUGAAGGACAAGGAAACAGAGAAGGAGCUUCUUCGAUGUCCUAGCUCGGGAACAUCAGUUUAUCCAAUUUUUUCUGAACUUGCAAGUGUAGAGAAUAAGCAACAACUAGCUCUUGUUGCAUCUAGGUUUAGUGGAGAUGUCUGGCAUAGACGGUUAGGCCAUCCUAGUCUUCCUGUUCUUUCUACAUUUAUUAAAAACAAUAAAAUUGUUUCUGAUUCUGCACUGAAAUUAUCUGUCUGCAAUGCUUGUAAUAUGGAAAAACAUGUUAAACUCUCAUUUCAUGAUUCGGAAUCUCAGUCUGCUUUUCCUUUUCAUAUUGUUCAUUCUGAUGUUUGGCAAUAACCUGUGCCCUCGGUUUCUGGAUACAAAUAUUAUGUUAUUUUUAUCGACGAUUAUUCUAGAUUUUUCUGGCUUUAUCUUUUAAAAUGUAAACAUGAAGUUUUUAACAAAUUUCUCGAGUUCAAGAAGAUGGUUGAAAAUAUAUUUCACAGCUCAAUAAAAAUUUUUCAAUCUGAAAAUGGUACGGAAUUUAUAAAUAACAAGUUUUCUAGUUUUUGCUCACAAAAUGGAAUUAUUCACCGAUUUUCUUGUCCUUACACUCCUCAACAAAAUGGCCUUGCUGAGAGAAAACAUAAGCAUUUAUCUAACAUUGUUAGAAGUCUAUUGUUUCAAGCUGGCUUGCCUCCUCGUUUUUGGGCUGAUGCCAUUCAAACUGUUGUUUUUCUUGUAAAUCGACUCCCGUCUCUUACUGUUUUAAAUGGGCAGUCACCGUAUGACAUUCUCCAUGGUUGUGCUUCUCCUGACUUGCAACUUAUCAGAGUCUUUGGAUGUUUGUGUUAUCCCGAUGUUCAAAACAUUGCAGAUCACAAGCUCUCUCCCCGAUCACUUCCUUGUAUUUUCUUGGGCCUUUCUGACAAACAUAAAGGCUUUCGCUGCCUCUAUCUAAACACUGGUAAAGUUUUUAUUUCUCGCCAUGUUACUUUUGUUGAAACUGUUUUCCUUACUCUUGUCUGUCUAAAUUUUCUCCCUCACCUUCCCCCACUACCUUAAAUUUUCAAAUAUUUCAACAUUUUCUUUCUAAUCCUCCCUUACUGGGUGAAAGUCCUUCCUCUAUUGAUGCCACUCUGGUUUUUCCUUCACACGCCCUUCUACGGACGUUGGUUCAAAUGCAUCCGUUUCACCGUCUGAGACUAUAUCGACUUUUCCUUCCACCUUGAAUCAUGAUGCCAUACAGGUUAGUGAUGAACAUGCUGCCACUGUUGUUAGUCCACCUUAACUCCGAGUCUAUACCAGACGACACACCCUCCGACCUACUGCUGAGCUUCACCUUCUCCUGUUGAGUUGACGCCUUCCACAUCUGACGGGCCACCUUCACCUCAGCCUGCUGAGCCUUCUUUACCACUCCGAACACACUCUAUGCUUACUCGAUCUAUGACUAAGAAUUUUGCCGGGUACCGACCAUUCCUAGAGCAAGUGGCAAAAGGCUUGGUGGUUGGUACCCGAGACCCAAGUUCGAAUCCUAGUUGAUUCACAUUUCUAGCUAAGUUUGUUUCAAAAUAAAAUAAACGAAGCGGGUAGCGUGCUACCUAUCUCUCAAAAAAAAAAAAAAAGAAUUUUGCCGAGUCUACCUAUUUCCUAACUUCUACACAUACUACUAUUCCUACUGAGCCUCCCACUUUUCAUUAAGCUUUUCAGGAUGCAGGUUGGCAUACUACCAUGGCUGAAAAAUUUGAUGCAUUACUCACCAAUGAUACUUGGGAGCUUGUUCCUGCUCCUCCUUCUGUCAAUCUUAUUGGCUGUAAAUGGGUCUACAAAGUCAAACAGAAGGCGGAUGGCUCUCUUGAGCGUCUCAAAGCUCGACUAGUGGCUCAGGGUUACAAACAACAAGGCAUUGAUUUUGAUGAGACUUUCUCCGGUUGUCAAGUCGACCACUAUUUGUACUGUUCUUUCGGUCGCUCUCUCCUCUGGAUGGUCUCUCCGACAACUUGAUGUGAAGAAUGCCUUUCUUCAUGGCACUCUCUGAGGAGGUUUAUAUGAAACAACCACCUAGCUUUAUGCAUCCUUCGCUUCCUAGUCACGUUUGCCAUCAACGCAAAGCGAUAUAUAGUCUCAAACAAGCUCCUCGGGCUUGGUUUCAGCGCUUUCUUUCUUUCUGAGAUUGGUUUUGUUGGCAGCACUGCUGAUCCCUCGAUGUUUGUUUGUCAUUCCUCCUCUGGCACUCUUGUUCUCCUUUUAUAUAUUGAUGAUAUUAUUGUCACCGGCAGUUCCUCAUCUCUUCUCGAUGCUCUUAUCGUCACUUUACAACGCGAAUUUGCCAUGAAGGAUCUCGGACCGCUACAUUAUUUUUUGGGUAUUGAGGUUCAUCGCUCCCCCUCCGGUCUUCAUCUAUCUCAACAAAAAUAUGCGCAUUAACUCCUUCAGCGACAUGGUUUUCUUGACAGUAAGCCCGUUUCUGAUCCUCUUUCGCCAACAUCUCAUCUCUCUUCCUAUAAGGGGCGUCUUCUUUAGGAUCCAUACAUUUAUCGUCGGAUAGUUGGUGCUCUCCAGUAUCUCACUUUCACCAGACCAGACGUUUCAUAUGCCGUCAACUCUGUUGCCCAGUAUCUCCAUGCACCUCGUGAACCGCAUAUGCAAGCGGUCAAGCGUAUUCUACGCUAUAUUCGGGGGACGCUGUCUUAUGGCCUUCCUAUCUCUCACUACGACAAUCCUUCUCUUGUGGCCUUCAUUGAUGCUGAUUGGGCUGGUUGCCCGGAUACACGUCGCUCCACUUCUGGAUAUUGCAUUUUUCUCAAGCCAAAUCUUAUCUCCUGGUCUGCUAAGAAACAAUCCACCAUUUCUCGUUCUAGUUCUGAAGCAGAGUAUCGUGCUGUAGCCUACACACUUGCUGAGACAGUCUGGAUUCGUCGUCUCCUUCGUGACCUUCGUAUUUUCUUAUGGUGCUCUAUCAGUAUUUAUUGUGAUAAUCUCAGCAUCACCUACCUUGCUGUCAAUCCUGUUCUCCAUGCUCGCACGAAGCACAUUGAACUUAACCAUCAGUUCUUGCGGGAAAAAGUUCAGUCUGGUGAUUUGGCCUUAAUUCAUAUCCCUUCUGACAAGCAACUUGCCGACGUUUUCACCAAGCCCCUGUCACCCUCUCGGUUUUCGAUAUUGCGGCUCAAUCUUCACAUCCGACCAUCGGAUGCUUAGCUUGCGCGCGGAUAUUACGAUAUAUUUUAUCUAUAUUAGGAUACUGUGUAUUAUUGCCUUCUAUAGAGUAGUAUUAUUGCCUUCUAUAGAGUAGGAUUAUAUAGUAUGUAAUCCUAGUUAUACUCUUACUAUAGUAGUCAUUGUUACUGUAGUAAGACAAUCUCUUGUACUAUAUAUAUUCGUUAAUACAACUCAAGAGGGCAUGCUCUUUUGCCCUUCUUACACGUAGUCCUUGAAACUAUACCAAUCUCGAAGGCACCCUACAGGGUGGCACCGGCUGAGCUGUGAGAGUUAAAGGCGCAACUUUAGGACUUGAUGGAGAAAGGGUUUGUGAGAUCCAGUGCGUCGCCUUGGGAAGCAUCAAUAUUUUCUAUGAAGAAUGAUGGUUCAAUAUGGCUGUGUAUGGAUUAUAGAGAAUUGAACAAAGUGAUCAUCCAGAACAAUUAUCCUUUGUUGCGCAUUGAUGAUCUAUUCGAUCAGUUACAAGGAUCUCGUGUCUUCUCCUAAAUUGACCUGCAAUCAAAGUACCAUAUACUGAAGGUGAAAACUAAGGAUAUACCCAAGACCGCGUUCAAGACAUAGCACGAGCAUUAUGAGUUCACAGUGAUGCCUUCUGGAUUAAUGAAUGCCCCUACCGCAUUUAUGGAUUUGAUGAAUAGGGUGUUCAAACCGUACUUUGAUCAAUUAGUGGUGGUGUUCAUUGAUAAUAUCCUGAUAUAUUUCCGGAAUGAUGCGGGGCAUAAGGAGCAUCUGAGGAUAGUGCUACAGUUUCUGAGGGAGAAGAAGUUGUAUACUAAAUUGAAGUGUGGGUUCUAGCUCCGAGAGGUUGCAUUAUUGGGCGAUGUGAUUUCAGCAGCAAGUAUUACAACGGGCACUAAGAAGGUUGAAGUGAUUCCAGAUUGGCCCAAACCGAUAACCAUCACUGAAGGGAGAAGCUUUCUUUCUUGGAUUAGCUGGAUACUAUCAUCGAUUUGUGAAAAGAUUUGCGAAGCUUUCCACACCCCUCACUCGAUUAACUCGCAAAAUAAUUUUGUUUGGAGUGAGGAUUGCCAGAGGAGCUUUGAGGAACUGAAGAAGAGAUUGAUGUCAGCUCCUAUUCUUGCCCUUCCAGUUAUAGGAGAAGAAUUUGUGAUCUACAGUGAUGCAUAGUACAGUGGCCUAGGGCGCAUACUAAUGCAGCAUAAUAGGAGAAUAAUUGCUUAUGCUUUACAACAACUGAAUGAAUAUGAGAAGAAUUACCCUACACAUGAUCUGGAGUUAGCUGUGGUGAUUUUUGCAAUAAAGCUUUGGUGUCAAUAUCCAUAUGGGGAGCAUUGUAAGAUCUACACCAAUCACAAGAGUCUCAAUUAUCUGUUUACCCAAAAGGAGUUGAACUUGAGACAACGUCGGUGGUUGGAGUUGUUGAACGAUUAUGAUGUGACUAUUCUAUAUCAUCCUGAUAAGGCUAACGUAAUAGCAGAUGUGUUGAGCGGAAAAUCGGUGCAAAGUGUAGGUAUGAUGAUCAUGAGGCAGACACCAUAGCUAGAGGAAAUGAGGCUAUUUGGACUGGAGGUUGUAUCCCCAGGGUUUUAGCAAGACUCAUGUCUACGGUUUUGCAACCCACUCUGUUAGACAAGAUCAAAGAGAAACAGAGAUUGGACCCCACAAUUGACGAGGAUUAGAAUAGAGGUUGAAAGCAGGCAGACAGAGGAGUUCAACAUAGAUGCCUUAAGGGUACUACAGUUCAGAGACCGGUCAUGUGUGCUAGUGGAAUCAGAGCUCUGUGAGGAGAUAUUGAGAGAGGCUCACUGUUCUCUUUAUACAUCCAAGAGGUACCAAGAUUUAUAAGGACAUGAAGGCACACUACUAGUGGAAUGGAAUAAAGAGGGAUGUUGGGAGAUAUGUAUUUCAGUGCCUGACUUGUUAGCAAAUGAAAAUCGCACACCGUGUACCGGCUGGCAAGCUUCAAAAUCUUCCAAUCCCGGAGUGGAAGUAGGAAAUGAUCACGAUGGAUUUCGUCGUUGGAUUGCCUAGAGCUCAUAAUGGAUAUCAUGCGGUGUGGGUUAUGGCAAACAGACUGACCAAGUUUGCUCACUUCUUACAAAUGUAGGUCACUUGGUCCCCAAAGCAACUCGCACAGGUAUAUAUGGAUGAUAUAGUGAGAUUAUAUGGAGUACUUACCUCGAUAGUAUCAGAUCGAGACCCAAGGUUCGUUUCACAUUUCUAGAGCCUACAGAAGGCCUUAGGGAUUUAGUUGCACUUCAGUACAGCCUUUCACCCACAGACCAAUAGACAGUCAGAGAGGACGAUCCAGACUUCAAAAAACAUGUUGAGAGCUAGUGUCACAGAUUUUGGAGAAGAGUGGUAUUGACACUUAAGAUUGGCGGAGUUUGCUUACAACAACAGCUAUCAAACGAGCAUUCAAAUGGCUCCGUUUGAGGCAUUAUAUGAACGAAAGUAUCGAUCACCCUUACAUGGGAGUAAAGUGGAUGAAAGAAAAACUUUGGGGCCUGAUAUUUUGUUGGAGAGAGGAAAAGGUCAAGAUUGCUCGAAGAUAUCUGGUGACCGCCCAAAGUCGACAGAAUAGUUAUGCUGAUACUCGGCGACGAGACUUGGAAUUUCAAGUUGGCGAUUAUGUGUUUUUAAAAGUCUCGUCAUCCAAAGGAUUUCGGAGAUUUGGAAUUCAUGGAAAGUUUAGUCCACAAUAUAUUAGUCCCUUUGAGGUACUAGAGCGAGUUGGACCUGUAGCUUAUAGGAUUGCACUACCGCCGAGGUUAGCUGGUGUCCACGAUGUUUUCCACGUGUCGGAUUUGAGAAGAUACGUGUUUGACCCUUAGCACAUGAUUGACUAUGCUCCACUUGAGUUGAGCGAGAACUUGAGCUACAAGGAGCAACCAGUGUGGAAUCUUGCUCGGGAGGAGAGAGUUGCGCAACCGAGUCAUUCCGUAUGUGAAGAACUUGUGGAGCAAUCACAAAGAGCAAGAAACGACUUAGGAGCCAGAUGUAGUGAUGCAGAAGUCAUACCCUCUACUUGUUUGAGGAUUCUUCUUGAUGUAUGGAUUUAAGUUUUGAGAGCGAAACUUUUUGUAGAGGGAAAGAUGUAGUGUUCUAGAGCUCAGUAACCAAGUCCAAGUACAAUGUGGGCAACUAGUCAGCAUGUCUGUAGGGCGUUGGGCAAAACUAGGGCUGGCAAAUGAGCAAGCCGGCUCAUGUUCGACUCGCGUUCGGCUCGAUAUUCGGCUUGCUCGAGCUUGACUUGAAAUUAAAUGAGCCGAGCUUGAACAAAAAAAAAAACUCGAAAUUUAUUUCAAGCCAAGCUUGAGUAUUACUAGGCUCGCUCGAAUUAGGCUCGAAAAGCUCGUAUGUGUGUGUGUAUAGUUCGGCUAUUAUACUAUCGAUAGUAUCAAGCGCUUGGUGUUAUCGAGUUUUCCACCGUUAGAUCUACUCCUUUGACCAUUUCUACCUGUUGGAUCAUACUAUUCAACCAACCAUCCACUCAACCCUAGGAGGCCACUAUCAUCCUAACUAGGGACCACUAUCAUCCUAACCGCACAUUCCUUCAUCAAAGGGCCGAAAACUUAAUAGCACCAAGCGCUUGGUACUAUUAAUAGUAUAGUAGCAUAAUUUUAUAUAUAGAGUCUAGUUACACUCUUAUGAGUAUAGUCCCCUCUAUAUUCAGAAGUUUCCGGCCGUUAGAUCUACCCCUUUGACCAUUUCUACCAGCUAGAUCAACCCUAGGGGACAACUAUCAUCCUAACCGCGUAUCCCUUCAUCCAACUGUCGAAAACUUAUUAAGUACAAAGGGUCUAUGCUCAUAAGAGUAUAGUAGCCCAACUCUCUCUCUAUAUUUUUUUUUUUCUUUUUAAUUAUAUAAUAAUAUAUAUUAUGUAUUUUAAUUAUAUGUAUAUAGGGUUUAGAUUAUUGGGCAUAUUUGCUGACCCACAAAACCAAACCAGCAAAUCCAACUCUAAUUGUUCUCUCGCUCUUUCACUUGCUUGCAAAGUCGCUUUCCCUAUUUUUUUUAAUAUUAUAAUACCAUAUUUGUCAUGCCCCCCGCUAUACCUCCCCCAAAUAGGUGGAAGGAGCCGCACAUGGGCGCGUGAGCCAAACCCGCAGAACAGACAAAAUUUUCCCUCUCCGCCCAAGGCGUCACAAUUGGUACAAUUCAAAACAUUCCAAACAAGAAUAAAAUUCAUAUACAGAUUGUAUAAGAAAGGCAUCAUAAACAUAAAUAACUACGCUAUUACAAACAUUCAUCUUAUUCAUUUUAUAAUUACAUUCUUCCAAAUACAAUCAAAUUUGUUACAUUUCUUUCAUUCUUCUCAAACCCUUAAGCUACACCAAUCCAGGGUACAUCUAUCUUUGGUCGCAAUGGUAGGACGCUAACUAUAGCUACGUCCUUUCCUCGCGCCGCUACGCCGCUCACGUGUAGACCUGCAAAACAUGGGGGUGAGAACUAUAAACAUAGUUCCCAGUGGGUUCGGCUACCGAUGUCGCCGAAUUUCCCACUAAGUCUAAUCAGGCAUAAAUAGCUACAAAAACUGGCAAGUAAUAAUGCAACUACACUGAGUAUGUAUAGAACUGAAAGUAAUUACUACUAUGCCUUACAACGGUAAGGAAUGAGUUCCAUGGUUCACUAUAAUCAAUGGUGUUCUCUUACUCACUCUUGACCCAACUCAUUCUCGACCCAAUCAGGAGCUUCCAAAAAAUCCAGUCCAGCUCACACCUCAUAGCCUCACAGGACUAGGUCCAAGAAUAACAUGAUCAACCAUCACUCAACAUGUGACUUAUUCUCGACCCAAUCAAAGGCUUCUCACAAGACCAAGCCCAACUCACAAGAAUAUCAUGGUUGACCCCACACACAACAUGUGAUCUCACUAUGCUCACCCUCUAUGCAGGAUGCAAGCAACAAUACGAUAUGGCAUAGGACACAAGUCUAUCUCUACCCGAAGUAUAACAUGCAACGAAUGCUAACCGCUAUGCUAUUUCAGUAACAACAUGAUCAAGUACUCACCACAUGCACAUAUAUGGAAAACAUGAUACUGAACAAUAACCUGUCUUUUUUCCUGGUCCCAAUAGCAUCGGCUCGCCAUAGGUCAAGUCACAACUAGCCACACCAUGUCACCACCAUGACUGUAUGCCAGGGGGGCACCGUCGUGACCCACACCCGUGUCAAUCUCAAAUCUCAAUGUGACACUCCGGAGCUCACAGCAUGGGAGUCGCGACCUCCACAAGCCCACAAUAGACAACGCGAGUAUAAUCACAUCCUCCAACGCGAGGACCUUCCACCCACCAGUGGAACAACAUCCAGGGACCUCACAACAUCCACAUUCAGAUGACAUGCAAUGCGCAAACAAUGAUGGAAUAUACAAUGUCAUGCUACAAGUGCAAUGACCUAAUCUCUUGAUACCCAAGGUUCAACAACUCAUGCUAUUAACCACGGUAACAACUCAACAUCAAGGGAUCUCUUUCAAUCCCUAGCAUGGUCCAGAGGAUAUCUUUCAAUCCCUCGCAUGCUCAAGAAUCUCAAAAUCCUCUUUCAAUCCCUCGCAUGCUCAAGAAUCUCAAAAUCCUCUUUCAAUCCCUCGCAUGCUCCAAAAUCUCAAAAUACUAGUUGUGACGAUACAAAUGCAUCGAUUCAAUCUUUUCCACAUAUACUUGAGAGUUUACUCAAACUCAUGUCUUGUGCAUCAAUAAGAUAUACAAACACCACACUAUGUGGACACAAGCAACUAUGCAUUGCUUUAUGGACUAUGGCCACACAUUCAUGCAAUGACCCAAUUUCACAUUUUACACUUGGGGUUCUCUCAAUUCAUGCCAUGUUCUUUUCAUGCAUAACAAUUCAUACCCAAUCCAUUGUGCAACAGUAGAUUCUCACUCAACAUCAUAAUGGCCCUAGCAUCUCAAUUUGUUUCAAUGUCCACACUUUGUUUUCUAUGUCUAAACCCACUAGUUUUCUCUAUUAAUUCAUCAAAUACAUCACUAGGGUUCAAGUAUCACCAAGUUCAUUGUCACGCCCCGAGACCGCUAUCAAUUUGGUCCGACCCCAGGCGCGUCGAACAGACGCCGAACGGACAGAACCUCCCCUGUCCGCCCAAGGCUAACCAACAGAUCAUGCAUAAGAAUUUACCCAGGAAUCAAUUCAUAAAUACACGAUCACAAGGAGCACCACCAGUGCUAACAAGACGAGAGCAAGGUACAAGUAUGGAAACAUAUACAAGCACAUAAAGAGAGAAGGUUCUAUCUAUUACAGUUAUUCAACUCAAUACAUAUAAUUCCAUCUUUCACAUUCUUCCAAAACAUAAAUACAAACACUCAACCUCACCCUAUACAACGUCUACUCUCAAACAUAAAUACAGGGUGGAGCU